UUCAUCCACCUCAAAGGUGUAAGUUCCUGAGUUUGGACUUCCCGGGAGGUCACCCAGCCCAGUACUAUUCAAACCCAAGGACGCUUAACUCCAACUAUCCCAAGACCCUUAACCAAUUGGAAAAGGGGGUGCACUCUUAUUCAUGGGCCCUUUCCCUCUAUAUUUGAACCCCAAUGGAUCGUCUCUCAAGUCGUUCCCUUUGGUUGCUUACAAUCCACCACGCUUCCCUGCAAGUUCACGCCCUCGUGAACGGAAGCUGAGAGCCGCAGCUCUCCCGAGAGCCCCGCUCUCUUGACACCCUACCCCUCGGGUCGAGCCCAGUGGGAGCAAACUGGACCAGCCAGAUGUCAAUCAACAUGUGGUGCGAUUCCCUUAGCCAACCAACAGAGUCGGACCCGAGACCUCUCUGAUACCAAAUGUAAGUUCCUGAGUUUGGACUUCCCGGGAGGUCACCCAGCCCAGUACUAUUCAAACCCAAGGACGCUUAACUCCAACUAUCCCAAGACCCUUAACCAAUUGGAAAAGGGGGUGCACUUUUAUUCAUAGGCCCUUUCCCUCUAUAUUUGAACCCCAAUGGAUCGUCUCUCAAAUCGUUCCCUUUGGUUGCUUACAAAAGGGAAGUUGAGGAAGGCUCCUGUGUUGGCAUUACCAGACUUUGGUAAGGACUUUGAGGUAGAAACAGAUGCUUCGGACUUUGCGUUGGGCGCAGUUUUGAAGCAAGACAACCAUCCAGUAGCGUUCUUCUCGAAGAAGUUGGACAAGGCUCAACGGAAGUGGCCUGCCCACGAGAAGGAAUUGUUUGCAGUGGUCAAGGCGCUCAAGGAGUGGCGACACUACCUUAGGAGACACUUCAAGGUUUAUACGGACAAUGUGGCACCAAAACACUUCUUGUCACAGCCCGACAUGAGAGGGAAACAAGGUCGGUGGGCCAAUGCCUUGGCUGAGUUUGAUUGCGAAAUUCUGUACAAGCCUGGGAAGAGCAACAUCAUGGCGGAUGCGCUAAGUCGAAAAGCGAGCUUAAGGUUGGCGAUAUCCAGCGCAACAGCAACCUUCUCGAACAAUGUGCGGACAGUAUAUGAGAAUGAUGGUCUAGCACAAGAAGUGUUGCUGAGGAAUCUAGAGGCACGGGAAGCUCACCAGAGAGGUGAGCUGCCAACGGAAGAGAAAACGGGUUAUGCGGAACGCAACGGACUCAUCUAUUACAAGCAAACGAGGGUGUAUGUUCCAGAAGGGGAACUAAGGAAGGUACCCUUAGAAGAGUGUCAUGACGGACCUCUUGCGAGACACGGCGGAGUGCCCAAGACGAUGGGCUUACUCAAGAGGAAGUACCAUUGGCCAGAUAUGGCUAAAGACGUCCAAGACUAUGUAAAGACAUGUCCAACAUGUCAGCAGGUCAAAGCCGUGACUAAGGCUAGUGGGGGCUUGUUGCAAAGCAUCCCAAUUCCAGAUCGUCCGUGGAAAUGUCUUACAAUGGACUUCAUCACGGGACUUCCCCCAAGCGAGGGGUUUGAUGCGAUAUUCGUGGUAGUGGACCGAUUUUUGAAAAUGGCACAUUUCAUACCCACCACAACGGAAGGGGAUGCAGAAGGUGUGGCGAAGCUGUUCUUCGAACAAGUGGUUCAAGUACGGGGAAGGCCGGAAGAGAUCAUCUCAGAUCGAGAUAAGAUCUUCACUAGUAGGUUUUGGAGGACUCUCUUGGAACAGUAUCGCACCAAGUUGAAAUUCAGCACAGCCUAUCACCCACAGACAGGUAUGGGGUAUUAAGUCAAGUUUGGUGGCACUAACACUUCUUGACAGACAAACAAACGAAAAGGGUGAAUAGGCAGCUAGAGGAUUAUUUGUGAUGCUAUAUCACGGGAGACCAAACCGAUUGGGUAAGUCAUUUGGGACUUACAGAAAUGUGUUAUAACAACUCACCACAUUUGAGUAUCGGGGUGAGUCCAUGGGAAGUCAUCAAUGGGCGAGCUAUUGAAGGUCCUGUGGAACUCAGCGUGGCCGAGUAUCAUGGAGAGUUACCCGCAGUGGAGGCAUUCACGGCGGAAAGACUCAACAUUUGGAAUCUAGUGAGGGAUUCCUUGGAACGAGCUCCAACAAAGGCAAACUAAGUACGUGAACCAAAAGUGUCGGGAUGUAGAGUUCCAAGCUGGGGAGAAGGUGUGGCUGAACACCAAGAACCUUAAGCUACCAAGUGGGAUCAGCCGGAAGUUGACCCAAAUGUAAAAAUGCAUGUAUUCCUAUAAAUGAAUUGAUCUUGAGUUCCUUAAGCAGGUUCGCGGGGCCUUACGAGAUUGAGGCUCAAAUCGGUAAAGUGGCUUACCGACUCCGACUUCCUCGAGAGAUGGGGAAGAUGCAUCCCGUGUUCCACGUGAACUUACUCAAGCCGUAUUUUGAGGAUCUGCUUCGCAAGGACCAAGUAAGACCUUUACCUGAGGUUAUCCAAGGGGAAGAGGAAUACGAAGUCGAGGCCAUCCUCAAUGCGCACAAGAGCAAGCGACAAGGACGCGAGGUGAGAGAGUUCCAUGUGAAGUGGAAAGGAUUUCCACACUGUGAAGCAACAUGGGAACCGAAGGAGAACCUAGUGAACGCGCGAGAUCUAGUAGAGGAAUUUCUGCAAGGCAGAACUCUAUGUACUUAUGCAAAGUUCAAUUAAAGUAUCAAUUUGUGAAGUUGAGCAAUGGGAUAUGUUGGGACCUGAAGGCGCGCCGAAGGUAAGCUAAUUAGCAUGGGUUAGCUAGGUUGACCAGGCGUAGGGAGCUACGCCUAACUCCUUGCGGGGAUGUCGAAUCCGUAAACGUAUUCUACGGAGGUUGGGUUUGAGUCCCAACCCCCUAGUAAAGCAAGGCUGGGUUCAAGUCCCGACCCCAUACUAGGGCGUGGUGAGGUGAAGAGUAUAGGGACACCUAUAUUCUGUUGUCAUGGGCUCUUGGCUGGGGAGGCUAACUUAGGCACACCGCUAAGUGGGGGGAUGCCCCCGGAGACAUGGUCAACAAGUCGUAGGAUAAAAAAGAGACGUUCGAUGUGGGCAUCGAACUUCUUCUAUGGGUGGUGGAGUUGUAAGGAACCAACUCACUGAGGUGUUGUAGGCUAAAGGAGCCCCGAAAGCUUGACCAAAAUGAUAAAGAGUUCAUCGGAUGGGACCGAGUCUAAGAUCGAGUCCAAGACCGACUCUAAGACCGAGUUCGAGAUAGAGUCCGGAAUCGAGUCCGAGACCGACUUGGAGACCGAAUUCGAGACCGAGUUCGAGAUCGAGUUCGAGACGGAGUCCGAGAUCCGAAAACGGGUCCGAGACCAAGUCCGAGGUCGAGUUUGAGGUCGGGUCCGAGAUCGGGUCCGAAAUCGAGUCCGAGAUCAAGUUCGAGACCGAAUCUAAAGUCGGAUCCGAGAUCGAGUCCAAGAUCAAGCUAGAGACUAAGUCCGAGUACUAAUACGGGUCAAGGGGUGAAAGCCCAAAGCGUGCGUCUCCCAGAGGGGGGGGGGGGGGGGGGGGUAGAGGUACCCAUACCGGGCCGUUAGGCCAUGGUGUUUCACCCCGACGUCCCAAAGCACGUGCUGCACCCAAGGCUUGGGAUUUAGAGGGUCCCAUGAUCAAGUCUUGUUGUACCAAGGGGUGUUAGGAACCUGGAGGCUUGGUGUGCUUGGCUGCUUAUGCUUGCGGGGAGUGUAGCCGAACCUUAAGUUCAGUCUAACCCGGAGAGGGGGAUUGGGAGAGAUUUGGGAAUUCAUAGAUGGAUGGCUAACACUCCGUUGUUCGUGCAGUGAGUAGCUGAAACCAAGUAGGACCAAGUAGGAGUUGGUAUAAUAGGCGAGAACCUUGGUAAGGCAACUUAGCACAAGCUAAGGCAGUGUUGGUCGGAUAGACAAGGUAAGCUGGCAAAUUGGAAAGGAAAAAUUUGUGGCUUACAUUUGCCCCCAAUAAAGUCCUUGUCCCAAGGACGAGUUAUACUAGUGAUCACCCUUUCUGGUGAACCCUGCUCAAGCUCUUAGUCCAUCUUCCACAGCCGUAUACAUCAAGGAGGCAUUGGGUUUGUCACUCCGAGAUAGUACACCUUUCAACUGGCUGACAUAAAAUACUGGAUGAAUUUUCACCCUAGAUAGCAGCCGCACCCAAUAAGCCGCUUUACCAAUGCGCUCCAGCACUUCAUAUGGACUAGCAUAUCGAUAGGAAAGUUUAUCACUCUUCCCUGUUCGUAAAGGCACCAAGGUGUUCUGCCGCUCACUUGAUGGAAAGAUCACUCACACAAAGACAAGAUCACCCACCUUAUAUUCCCGGAAUUGGCGAUGCUCAUUGGCAAACUUCUCUGCUCUAUCCUGAGCUGCUUGUAAAUUUCAUUUGCACAUCACCAGAAUCUCAUCAAGUUCUGUGGCUAGAUCAGUUGCCUCGGAAUCAAGCUUAUCUUGAAUGUCUUUACUCAAAUGCAAUCCCAACUCCAUCGCUGUUUGAGGAUGCCUUCCAAAUAUGGCAAAGUAAGGAUUUAACUUGGUUCCACUGUGUUGGUUAUUGUUAUAAGCAAAUUGCACCAAUGGAAGAUAUAGAUCCCAUUGUCCUUGCUUUUGACCAAUGUUGCAACGUAGGAUAUCCUCCACCACCUGAUUCACACAUUUGGUUUGCCCAUUCGUCUGAGGAUGAUCUCCACUCGAGAGUUUCAAAGUCACUUGCAUAGCCUUUGCAAAGCUUUUCCAAAAUCCACUAGUGAACUUUGAAUCUCGAUCACUAAUGAUAUCCUUUGGCAAACCAAAAUCAGGAAAAACCUUCUCCAAGUAAACCGCAACCAAGUCUGAGGCAUUGACAGUCUUCCGAAGAGCCAACAACCGCAUAUACUUCGUCAACCGAUCCACUAUAACCCAUACUUGCUCUUUUUGCCUCUGUAUUCGUGGCAAACAAGUGAUGGAGUCCAUAGAGAUACUACACCAACGGCUCUGAGGAAUAGGUAAAGGUUGCAAAAGUCCCCCCGACUUCUCCUAUGGCACCUUAACUCGCUAACAAAGCUCACAUAAUUUAUAAUACUUGAGGAUAUUAGCUUUCAUAUUCCUCUAAUAAAAGUUGCACUUAAUCAAGUCAUACGUCUUCUUCCCCCAAAAUGACUGGCCUCUGGAUGAUCAUGAUUGUGGAAUAAAACUUGAGUAAUUAAUGCAUCCAGCCGUGGCAAAUAUACAUAACCAUUGUAGUAGAGAAUCCCAUCCAUCAAUGAAAAAGGGGCUUCCAUCUGGUCUUGCAAAGAGGCCACUUUAGCAUCUUGAGCCUAAGUAUGCUCAACCAACUACCCAAACUCACUGACCACCUUAUUCAAAUGAUGACAAAAUCAUGUUUAUAACGUCGUUAUAUAACGAACAUGAAACAAAGCAUCUGCCACCACAUUUGAUCUUCCCGGACAUGCUCAAUAGGAAACUCCCCAAACUCCAUGAGUUUAACCAUCCAACGAGCUUGCCUAGUGUUUAACUCCUUUUGUGUGAAAAGAUACACAAGUGGUUUGUGAUCUGUCAACACCACGAACACUACACCAUAAAGAUAAUGCCGUCAUAUCCGCAAAGCAUGAACAAUAGAGAGUAACUCUUGCUCAUAUGUGGAAUAGCGUUGCUCCGCGGAAUUCAAAGUUCGACUCUCAUAUGCAAUAGGUUGUCCCUCUUGCAUGAGAACUCCUCCCAGUGCAUAACCACUCGCAUCGCAUGUCACCUCGUAAGGUUUCGAUGGAUCAGCAAUGCGAAGCACUGGAGUCUCGCUCAACAAUCGUUUCAGUGCCACAAAACUCUCCUCUUGUGGCUGCUUCCACUCGAAUGGCACAUUCUUGCAUAACAACCGCAUCAAAGGAAUAGCCACCUCAGCAAACUUAUGCUGGAAACGUCGGUAGUAAUUAGCCAUUUCAAGAAAACUAUGCAACUCAACCAUUAUAGUUAGUGUAGGCUAAUUUUCCACCACAGCCACCUUCCUUGGAUCCAUCUUGACACCCUUAUAUGUCAUAAUAUGGCCUAGAUAUUCCACCUUCGACUUUGCAAACUCAUAUUUGCUCUUCUUUGCAUAAAGUUUGCUGUCUCGAAGUAACAAAAGAACCUUGCGCAAAUGCACCCUAUGCUCCUCUAUAUUCUUGCUAAAAACAAGAAUAUCGUCCAAGAAAAUCUCCACAAACUCAUGAAGAUAACGCCCAAAUACCUCCAUCAUCAACCGAGUAAAUGUGGCCGGUGCAUUUGUCAAACCAAACGGCAUAACUGUAAACUCAAAAUGUUUGAAACUUGUGUUGAAUGCCGUCUUGGAGAUAGAUGCAUCAUCUAUUGCAAUCUGAUGAUAUCCACUUCUCAGAUUAAUCUUGGUAAACACUCAUGCUUCACCAAGCUUGUCUAAAAUAUCAUCCACACGUGGUAUCAGCAUCUUAUCCUUCACUGUCUUUUUGUUCAAAGUGUGGUAGUCAAUACACAUCCACAUUGAACCAUCCUUCUUCUUCACAAGCAAGACCGAAACACCAAACAAAGACUUACUUGGCUAAAUAAAUCCAAACUCAAGUAACUCCUUGAUUUGUUGUUGAACCUCUUGCUCCUCUGCAUAACUUAACCGAAAUGGACGCUGGUAAAUUGGCUGCGUCCCCGGCUUCAAUGUAAUCCCAUGCUCCAGACCUAAUAACAAAGGCAACCCAUGAGGAAGUUUAGAUGGAAAAACAUCAGAAAAUUUGUCAAGUACAUCCCGUACUGCUACUUCUCCCCCACACGUGCUUAAAAUCCACAUUGGAUCACCACGGAACAUGCCCUCCAGCAUUAUCGCUGAUUCACGAGUAUCCUCGAGCUCCAUCUUAUUCCACACACAAUUGAGCUGAUAAGCAACAAUCAAAAGUCUCUGGUUGUUCUCGUCAUUCUUACGCUGCAAAGUUUGCAACUUUUUAAUAUCUGACUUACCGUGAGAAGAAGAUUGGCCAUUCUUCUUGUCCUGCUACUUGUUCUUCAACUACGGACAAUCAGUUUUGUAGUGUCCAAGUUUACUGCAAUGAUGACAACCCUAUCUAUAAUUCUUCAUAAAGAACUUUUGCUUCUUGGACCCCUUUGCAUCCAAAGUAGUCACCACCAACUUCAACUUGUGAUGCUUGUUCCCAUUCUUGUGUCCACGGCGAUCAUCACGACGAUUUUCGAUAGAAGGACUCCACAAACACUUGCAAGACUUGUGUUUGUCAUUGUCAAGUCAACGAGCCGCAUCAAAGAGCUCCUCCAAACUCUUUGUAGGCUGAGAAUGAUGCAAAUGUUGUCGCAUGCUCUCACUAUGUAGGCCAUUAAUGAAGUAGGACUUGUUCUGAUUUGGAUCCUUUGUUAGAACAUGAUUAAUCAAGCGAGUAAGCUUCUCAAUAUAGUCCUCAAAUAUCAUUUUCCUUUGCUGGAAAUGUCAAAGUUCUGUACAAACUUGCAUCUUGUCUUGCAUCUCUUGCUGAUUUUGAUUAAGGGCUCACAGCUCAUGAACCACAUCUUGAAUGGUCCAAAUCUCCACAGCUUUGUUAGCACCAUCGUCGGCACCACCAUCGACAAUAGGAUUCCAAUGUCCAGCUUGGUCAGCCAUCGCAACCAAGUCCUCUGAUACCAAUGUUAUGAUCCGGCAUAAACAGACUAAGAUCUAUGUCAUGAUCUGGUGCAAAAAGACAGAGAUCUAGUCACCCUAAAUUAUACUACACCACCUCUUGAGGUUCCUCACCACCCAACCACCCCUAAGCUACCUCAAAAGCUCCAUUACGCCACUGCUCCACUAUGAGCCCUAAGGUAGGUUAAGUCCUUCACCCUAACAUGCUUUAAUAUAUCCUUGAGCCUCCCUUUGACCGAUGUUGACCACGUGGUCAAAGUUGGUGCCUAACACUAUGUCUGCAGCCAUAAAAUUAUUUGAAGCACCCGUGUUAAUAAAGAUCUUAACAAAGCUACUUUUGAGCUUCUCUCAAAGGGCUAAUAGAUGUCGCAAAUGACUCCCUACCAAAGUUGCUUGUGUAAUGAGUAACUUUGAGCUAAUGACUAAGUCACGUACCUCAAUUUAGACUUCACUUGACUUAAUGGCCAUAUUGACUUUAGCCUUCUUUAGGUAGGGACAUUCUCUCAAAAAGUGUCUCACUUCACCCCAAUUUAAAUAUAUAUUAUUUCCCACAUUACUAGCAAACUUUAUUUUCUUAUCAGUGGGUUUGUCUCUUUUUGCCUAACUCCCCCACAUACUUGCUCUUUGGUUAUUGAAUCUGUUUUUCCAAACUUGAGAACUCAUUCUUAGAGAAAUUCCUUUUGAAUUUCCCUUUGUUAUAUAUCACCUUUGGUUUGGCUCUUUUAUUGAAUGUGGACCCCAACCCCGUAAUGCACNNNNNNNNNNNNNNNNNNNNNNNNNNNNNNNNNNNNNNNNNNNNNNNNNNNNNNNNNNNNNNNNNNNNNNNNNNNNNNNNNNNNNNNNNNNNNNNNNNNNNNNNNNNNNNNNNNNNNNNNNNNNNNNNNNNNNNNNNNNNNNNNNNNNNNNNNNNNNNNNNNNNNNNNNNNNNNNNNNNNNNNNNNNNNNNNNNNNNNNNNNNNNNNNNNNNNNNNNNNNNNNNNNNNNNNNNNNNNNNNNNNNNNNNNNNNNNNNNNNNNNNNNNNNNNNNNNNNNNNNNNNNNNNNNNNNNNNNNNNNNNNNNNNNNNNNNNNNNNNNNNNNNNNNNNNNNNNNNNNNNNNNNNNNNNNNNNNNNNNNNNNNNNNNNNNNNNNNNNNNNNNNNNNNNNNNNNNNNNNNNNNNNNNNNNNNNNNNNNNNNNNNNNNNNNNNNNNNNNNNNNNNNNNNNNNNNNNNNNNNNNNNNNNNNNNNNNNNNNNNNNNNNNNNNNNNNNNNNNNNNNNNNNNNNNNNNNNNNNNNNNNNNNNNNNNNNNNNNNNNNNNNNNNNNNNNNNNNNNNNNNNNNNNNNNNNNNNNNNNNNNNNNNNNNNNNNNNNNNNNNNNNNNNNNNNNNNNNNNNNNNNNNNNNNNNNNNNNNNNNNNNNNNNNNNNNNNNNNNNNNNNNNNNNNNNNNNNNNNNNNNNNNNNNNNNNNNNNNNNNNNNNNNNNNNNNNNNNNNNNNNNNNNNNNNNNNNNNNNNNNNNNNNNNNNNNNNNNNNNNNNNNNNNNNNNNNNNNNNNNNNNNNNNNNNNNNNNNNNNNNNNNNNNNNNNNNNNNNNNNNNNNNNNNNNNNNNNNNNNNNNNNNNNNNNNNNNNNNNNNNNNNNNNNNNNNNNNNNNNNNNNNNNNNNNNNNNNNNNNNNNNNNNNNNNNNNNNNNNNNNNNNNNNNNNNNNNNNNNNNNNNNNNNNNNNNNNNNNNNNNNNNNNNNNNNNNNNNNNNNNNNNNNNNNNNNNNNNNNNNNNNNNNNNNNNNNNNNNNNNNNNNNNNNNNNNNNNNNNNNNNNNNNNNNNNNNNNNNNNNNNNNNNNNNNNNNNNNNNNNNNNNNNNNNNNNNNNNNNNNNNNNNNNNNNNNNNNNNNNNNNNNNNNNNNNNNNNNNNNNNNNNNNNNNNNNNNNNNNNNNNNNNNNNNNNNNNNNNNNNNNNNNNNNNNNNNNNNNNNNNNNNNNNNNNNNNNNNNNNNNNNNNNNNNNNNNNNNNNNNNNNNNNNNNNNNNNNNNNNNNNNNNNNNNNNNNNNNNNNNNNNNNNNNNNNNNNNNNNNNNNNNNNNNNNNNNNNNNNNNNNNNNNNNNNNNNNNNNNNNNNNNNNNNNNNNNNNNNNNNNNNNNNNNNNNNNNNNNNNNNNNNNNNNNNNNNNNNNNNNNNNNNNNNNNNNNNNNNNNNNNNNNNNNNNNNNNNNNNNNNNNNNNNNNNNNNNNNNNNNNNNNNNNNNNNNNNNNNNNNNNNNNNNNNNNNNNNNNNNNNNNNNNNNNNNNNNNNNNNNNNNNNNNNNNNNNNNNNNNNNNNNNNNNNNNNNNNNNNNNNNNNNNNNNNNNNNNNNNNNNNNNNNNNNNNNNNNNNNNNNNNNNNNNNNNNNNNNNNNNNNNNNNNNNNNNNNNNNNNNNNNNNNNNNNNNNNNNNNNNNNNNNNNNNNNNNNNNNNNNNNNNNNNNNNNNNNNNNNNNNNNNNNNNNNNNNNNNNNNNNNNNNNNNNNNNNNNNNNNNNNNNNNNNNNNNNNNNNNNNNNNNNNNNNNNNNNNNNNNNNNNNNNNNNNNNNNNNNNNNNNNNNNNNNNNNNNNNNNNNNNNNNNNNNNNNNNNNNNNNNNNNNNNNNNNNNNNNNNNNNNNNNNNNNNNNNNNNNNNNNNNNNNNNNNNNNNNNNNNNNNNNNNNNNNNNNNNNNNNNNNNNNNNNNNNNNNNNNNNNNNNNNNNNNNNNNNNNNNNNNNNNNNNNNNNNNNNNNNNNNNNNNNNNNNNNNNNNNNNNNNNNNNNNNNNNNNNNNNNNNNNNNNNNNNNNNNNNNNNNNNNNNNNNNNNNNNNNNNNNNNNNNNNNNNNNNNNNNNNNNNNNNNNNNNNNNNNNNNNNNNNNNNNNNNNNNNNNNNNNNNNNNNNNNNNNNNNNNNNNNNNNNNNNNNNNNNNNNNNNNNNNNNNNNNNNNNNNNNNNNNNNNNNNNNNNNNNNNNNNNNNNNNNNNNNNNNNNNNNNNNNNNNNNNNNNNNNNNNNNNNNNNNNNNNNNNNNNNNNNNNNNNNNNNNNNNNNNNNNNNNNNNNNNNNNNNNNNNNNNNNNNNNNNNNNNNNNNNNNNNNNNNNNNNNNNNNNNNNNNNNNNNNNNNNNNNNNNNNNNNNNNNNNNNNNNNNNNNNNNNNNNNNNNNNNNNNNNNNNNNNNNNNNNNNNNNNNNNNNNNNNNNNNNNNNNNNNNNNNNNNNNNNNNNNNNNNNNNNNNNNNNNNNNNNNNNNNNNNNNNNNNNNNNNNNNNNNNNNNNNNNNNNNNNNNNNNNNNNNNNNNNNNNNNNNNNNNNNNNNNNNNNNNNNNNNNNNNNNNNNNNNNNNNNNNNNNNNNNNNNNNNNNNNNNNNNNNNNNNNNNNNNNNNNNNNNNNNNNNNNNNNNNNNNNNNNNNNNNNNNNNNNNNNNNNNNNNNNNNNNNNNNNNNNNNNNNNNNNNNNNNNNNNNNNNNNNNNNNNNNNNNNNNNNNNNNNNNNNNNNNNNNNNNNNNNNNNNNNNNNNNNNNNNNNNNNNNNNNNNNNNNNNNNNNNNNNNNNNNNNNNNNNNNNNNNNNNNNNNNNNNNNNNNNNNNNNNNNNNNNNNNNNNNNNNNNNNNNNNNNNNNNNNNNNNNNNNNNNNNNNNNNNNNNNNNNNNNNNNNNNNNNNNNNNNNNNNNNNNNNNNNNNNNNNNNNNNNNNNNNNNNNNNNNNNNNNNNNNNNNNNNNNNNNNNNNNNNNNNNNNNNNNNNNNNNNNNNNNNNNNNNNNNNNNNNNNNNNNNNNNNNNNNNNNNNNNNNNNNNNNNNNNNNNNNNNNNNNNNNNNNNNNNNNNNNNNNNNNNNNNNNNNNNNNNNNNNNNNNNNNNNNNNNNNNNNNNNNNNNNNNNNNNNNNNNNNNNNNNNNNNNNNNNNNNNNNNNNNNNNNNNNNNNNNNNNNNNNNNNNNNNNNNNNNNNNNNNNNNNNNNNNNNNNNNNNNNNNNNNNNNNNNNNNNNNNNNNNNNNNNNNNNNNNNNNNNNNNNNNNNNNNNNNNNNNNNNNNNNNNNNNNNNNNNNNNNNNNNNNNNNNNNNNNNNNNNNNNNNNNNNNNNNNNNNNNNNNNNNNNNNNNNNNNNNNNNNNNNNNNNNNNNNNNNNNNNNNNNNNNNNNNNNNNNNNNNNNNNNNNNNNNNNNNNNNNNUAAUGAUCAUCCCUCUAGGCAUGAUAACGUGCUCAUAGGGUUUAGAUGUAAAAAAAUGCAGAUCAACAUCAUGUGUUGAGCAUGUUAUGAUGUAAGGAUUUAUUACAUUCUACCACAGAAUGACUGUUUAAGCAAAGUAGCAUCAAUGUGGCCCUUUACUCCUAGAUCAAUGUUUAGUAGUCAUUGGAUUUACUAUUGUGGGACUGAUGUUACUCAUACAAGCCAAAUCUAUAACUCAAUUAUCUUAAAGCCAAAUUCCAUACCAAAGGAGUGGUUAAUUGAGCAAACUUGCAAUCUUUUGAAAGAAGAGAUUAAAAGUCGAGAGAGAAUACGAUUCAAGUUGAAGACUUCCUCAAAUGUUAUUAUUGAUGCUACUAUGCCACCAAUGUCAAUAUUAGACUGCAUACAUGAUCAGCUAGAAAUGAAAAGGCUAUACAAUAUAGGUCUUCCAUUUUGAAGAGUACGCAAGAAAAGAUCAAGCUAGCAAAAGAGUUGAAAUGCAUAAUCACAAAGAUAAACUACAUUAAUGCCAUGGCUAAAGUGUUCGUUGUUGUGACCAAAGUUCUAGCUAUAUUUGUCUGAAUCUGCAAAAAUCCAUCUUAUACCUAUCUAAAUUUCAUACAAAGGGAAAAUAAGGGAAAGGUAUAUUUAUGUUUUUAUGUAGAAACUAAACCAAGAUCCUAAGAUCAACCAUUAUAUCCACUAGGCAAUCCUUACAGUUGUGAAGCUUCAAAAGUGUUUUUAGAUUAUUUUUGAUGUUCACAUCUAUAUUUAUAUUUGUAUUUUAUUGGUCAAAUUUACUUGGAAAUAUAGAUUAAAUCAAUAUUUGAAAGAUGAAAAAAUGUUAGUUCAAGGUGAACCAAUCCUUUUUCUAUGUUUGAGAAGUCAUGAGCUCAACUUGUGAGCUCAGCUCAUGAGUUCAAAACCUACUUGGGCUCAAAAGCAGAAUGCUAUAAUCAAGGGGGUGGUCCAAAUUUGAAUUAAGCUCAACUUAGCACAAGUCAACUAAAAGUUGCACAACAUGUGAUAAGGGCACUUCUUUACCAUGAUCAAGAUUCAGCAUAGGCUUUACUAUGAUCAGCAUUCAGCACAGGUUUUCAUCGUCAACUUUUGCAUGAACAGGCCCAAGGGGUAGGAGCACAUUGUGGUUCCUAGUCAUGACUCACUUGUUUUUAUAUCCAUCGACUUUCAUCCUAGUGAGUGCACAGCAAGUGUCCCCAUUGUCAACUCAAUUGGCAAAAGAGAGGCAAAAGAGAGGUGGAAGUGGUGUGACUUAAGAAUUGGAGCAAACAUAUCUUGUUUGAGAAUGCCUUGAAAUAGAAGAGCUUUUAAACUUGUUUGGAACUUCUGGAUUCAUGUUUGGUAAUGUGAUGAGCUAUAAGUUGGAGUCAACCAGGUGUUAAACUUUCAAUUCACUUUGUGGAAUAUUUGAACAUGGAUGGUGCUUGGAUUUUAAGAGAAUGGCUGUAUGCCUGUACUUGCUACUGCAAGGAGCCUUACUAGUGGCCAAUUAUGAGUCACUGUAGGUGGCAGCAACUGGGUGUGCAAUGUAAGUUGUGUGGUUGUGUGGUAUUUAUAUCCUGUAUUUGACAGUUACAUCACAACCAACGUCAGGUGGCUGAAUUUCUCCUUGAGUGUUGGCCAUGUGGCCCACGUCCAUGGUGGGUUUGCAGUGUGAGUGGGAAGGUGUGAAUGGUGAGUUUUGAGCAAGAUAUUAAGUUUAAGAUAUUUGAAUUAAAAUCUUUACACAUGUCUUUUUGGUUUGCUUAAGCAAACUUGUAGGGGACUGGGAUGGUAAUGGAUAUGCCUCAAAUAUACUCAGAUAUUCUAGGAUAUUCUACCAUCUAACAGUUGUUAUUCAUUUAGAUUAAUCUUGUAUUUAUAAAUUAUAAACAUUCUUAAACCCUUUCUAGUAUAUUCUUUUUUAUUCUAUCAUCUAAUGGUUGAUAUGCAAUAAGAUUAAUCUUGUAUUUAUAAAUUACAAACAUGCUUAUAAUUAUAAACUUUAUUUGAUUAAUUGGAUUACUAAGUAAAAAUAACACUACUAUUAAGAAAACCAAGCAUUUCUCUUUGUAUUUUUCUCAGUUGAACAUGAACUUUAUAUAAUUAUAAAGUUUAUACAUAAAAAAUUAAUUUGUUCCUAUAGAAGCUUGGGAAAUUUCAGGAGAAAAUUUAAAUGUUCAAAGAUUCAACUACUUAGAACCUUUUAUGAUGCUUUCAGGAUUUAGCAGAUGAUCUUGAUAGGGUGUUUUCUCUAUAAUUUNNNNNNNNNNNNNNNNNNNNNNNNNNNNNNNNNNNNNNNNNNNNNNNNNNNNNNNNNNNNNNNNNNNNNNNNNNNNNNNNNNNNNNNNNNNNNNNNNNNNNNNNNNNNNNNNNNNNNNNNNNNNNNNNNNNNNNNNNNNNNNNNNNNNNNNNNNNNNNNNNNNNNNNNNNNNNNNNNNNNNNNNNNNNNNNNNNNNNNNNNNNNNNNNNNNNNNNNNNNNNNNNNNNUUGGUGUUUGAUCAACCCCUUGUUUAGAUCUCACUCGUACUCAAGAUACCAGAGCCGGACUACAAUAAGAGCAAUGGUUGUUACCAACAACUUUACUCCCACAACUUUACAUUGAGAGGAGGAAAUUCUCUUGUGCAUCUUGUGGCUUGGUAAUUAGAGCUAUCCUACCAGAUCCUGUUGUGAGCAGCCAAAAGGAAGCUUCUUCGGGCAAGUAAGUCAGUGCUUGAGAUGCUGGACAAUUUAGAAGCAUGUAGCAGAAGCCAUGAGAGAAGCCCAACUCAGUACUAGAGAGCUCUACAUUACUAGCAAGUCCAAGGGGGCCACACUAUGAUUAAGUUCUUUUGACAACUUUAAGAGAUAAUCAUUGGGAAGAAUGCACUUUUGAGCCUGAGCAAUGUCCUGGAUCAGCUCAAAGAGAUGUCUGCUACAAUGGGAAAUCAUAGCCAUAUAUAUUUAUUUUAUUAUAAUUUUUUAAAUUAUUGGAUUAAAAAAAUUUUAAAUUAAAAUUAAGAUAGUAAAAAUAAUGAAAUUUGUAUAGGAAGAAUAGAUGGUGCCUGAGAACAAUAGUUAUUAAUUGUCCAUAAUGGUUUAGGGUCGUCUCUGUAAAUGUAAAUGAGUCAUGACUCUGUUCCUGAUCUAAGCGUGGCAUUUUAUCACCAUACUUACUGUGUCCAGCUUUUUUAUGGCAUACUUGGCCAUUGGAUUUUUUUAGAAUAAACUCUAGAUCAUUGAAUAAAGGAACGGUGCCAAACUCCUAAGCAUAGAGCCAAUGAGUGAUGGAACCAAACCAUGGAGCAACUCCUAAAUGUACAGCCCAAGGAACGAAGGGACAAGAGUAUGGAGUGACUUGGAAUAGUCCUAGAACAUCUAGCAUUCUAAUGCCAGGACCAGUAGGCAAAAUAGAGCCAAAUAGAGUUUAGCACUAUUUCAGCAUACUGGUGGCCUAAUGCAAGGAUAUGGAUUAACAUGGUAUGGAACUUGGGCUUAAACCUAAGUCGAACGCAGAACAAAGACAAGCAUGCAAGUGAGAAUUAGAUUAUGCCUUAGGUUAAUCAACCAUGCUCGACCUACCCACUAUCCUACUAUACAUUUAGAACCCCCCACAACCCCUCCCCCCCCUUCCCCUCCCCUCCCUUUAAGGAACACACGUUUUGGGCGUUCACCCCAAGCCUCCCUUAGUACUAGGAGUUAGUCUUUGGGACAAGCUCAAAACUUACUAAAUAUGGAAUGUUNNNNNNNNNNNNNNNNNNNNNNNNNNNNNNNNNNNNNNNNNNNNNNNNNNNNNNNNNNNNNNNNNNNNNNNNNNNNNNNNNNNNNNNNNNNNNNNNNNNNNNNNNNNNNNNNNNNNNNNNNNNNNNNNNNNNNNNNNNNNNNNNNNNNNNNNNNNNNNNNNNNNNNNNNNNNNNNNNNNNNNNNNNNNNNNNNNNNNNNNNNNNNNNNNNNNNNNNNNNNNNNNNNNNNNNNNNNNNNNNNNNNNNNNNNNNNNNNNNNNNNNNNNNNNNNNNNNNNNNNNNNNNNNNNNNNNNNNNNNNNNNNNNNNNNNNNNNNNNNNNNNNNNNNNNNNNNNNNNNNNNNNNNNNNNNNNNNNNNNNNNNNNNNNNNNNNAGGAGUUCCCAACAUUAACAAGUGCAAGUCAAUGAAUGAGUUUAUCUAACCAAGUUAAGUAUGCUUGACUAAUAGCACUUAGGAAUUCUAUCCUUAUGCUCAUUUAGUCAAGUGCACACGUGAAGACCAAUUUCUCAACUAGCUUAAGCAGAGACUAAUAACAAGUCUAGCAAUACUAACUUUCUGUCAUUGUGGCAGUAAGGAAAGAAUAUCCGAAAGGAUUGGCCAACAGGUAACUUUCAAUACCUAAAAUCCUAUUCGCGACACUCUCCCCCCCCCCCCCCCCCCUAGGGAAAAAGGAUGUCCUCAUCAAUGCACACUCCAGUCUAGACCACCGCCAAGGAAACAACUCUAGAAAAAGUUCAUGGUGAUCACACUAUGUGAGAAAUGCACUAACUUAAAAUGAAUUAGGAGGCAACUUCUUUGUCUAACGCAAAUGCACUACCAACUCAGACACCAUCUAAUCAUCAUUGACAAGGAAAUGACCAACAAAGUUAGCCACCCUUGCUACUCUGGGUGUCACCCAACCUACAAAAGUGUGAUACGCCCCUGCCUGCAAGGAUAUAGAGAGAGAAGCCAAAGGUCCCAACCCUCAUGAGCAAAGAAACCAAACCCAUUGGUAAGGUUUAGAUAUACUACUGUAAACAAGUAGUUAGAGUUGUUUACAUGGUUGCGCCCUUUUUACGGAAUAAAGAACAUUGAUAAAAAAGCAGGUUAUAUGACCAGUCGACAGUAGCUAUCCCAUGACUAAAGAUUUCACAAUGCAGACAAAAUGCCAAAGCCAAUUUGCCUAUACUGACCCAAACUCAAAGAUCUAUAGAUAAACAAUAUCAAAGUCAUAGACAAUGAUAUCUUAGAGACUUAAUUAUUAGUGAUUAAAUCUUAUAUUAGAACUCAAAACUAUUCUAAGUAAGUUAUCAUUUGAUAAACCAGUAUUAGAGUACAGGAACCACCAAUAUUAUCAUAUUUAAAAAACAUAGGAUUCACCAUCCAACAAAAUUCAAGAGCAAGUGUAUCAUUAAAAAAGCUCAAUAAAAAAACUUAACUACCGAAAAUUGUAGAUAGCAUGCUAAACAACUUAUAAAAGACAACUCAAAGAACACAAAGUAUCACCAACCAACAAACAGAAUGCUCGCGAAUGUAUCACCCGAAUGAAAGAACAUCCAAAUCUAUUAAAACUAACUUGAGCAAUAAUCAACAAAACAUAAUGAAUGCGGUAAGACUAACAAACACUCAUUCAUGCCAUUAUCAUACUAGCCAAUUGAAAUAGAUCUUAGUUAACAAUACAAAGGAACUCAAGUUUCUUAAGCAAGUAUCAGCAACAUCCUAUCGAUAUCUUAAACCCAAGAGGCUAAUUCAGAGCAAACCACAAAGAACAUAUGGUAUUGCGAAAAGCUAUAAGUCAUCAAAGAAAAUAAUUAACUAUCAUGAAAGAUAAUCAAUCAUCCCCUCAAAAGAGAAAUGCAGAGUCAUCGUUAAAAAAAGAAUCCACUAUCCCAAAGAACAGCAAAUUAUUCUGUAUUAAAAAAAAUCAAGCAAAAUCCUUUGAUAAGGAUAAUCAACUAUCCUAGAUGAUAAUCAAUCAUCACCAAUGAUUGCUAAAUGCAAAAGUUAACUUGAACAUCGAAGCUAAUGAGCCAAAAAUGCCUUCCCCAACAACUUUUAACAAAUUGACCAUAAACAUGAAAACUCAAGGAAUCAAAAGCUUGAAAAAGUCUAUAGCCAAGUCUUGCCUAAUAAUGAUCAUGAAUCUCACAUGAACUAACUUCAAUGUUAAAGAAGAAAUCAUAGUAUAACCCACAACAUCCUCCUCAAUAUAUCCAUAAGCUAAACUUCAUAAUGUAAAGCUAAUGAAGAGCAUAUCUGCAUCAAUCCAAAAACUAAGCACAAUGAAGCUACGCUCAAUAAGUGAUCACUAAACGAUCCUUCAUGAAUCCAUUUAUAGCAAGAUAUAACUCACUUCAUAACAAACAUAAGAAGAAUUAUUAAUGAUUGAUAUAUCCCAACUCAAAUCCAAUAAAAACUCAAUCACUUCAAUAUCAAUCACUAACUCUUUCACUUGUAGGUUAGCAUAGUCCACGACAAAAUCACUUUUCAAGGAAAAGCCAAAGCUUAAUCUCUACUAAGCAAUUUCAUCUAGAACACAAUUAACUCAAAUUUGCCACUUAGCUCGUUUGAAUAUCACAUAGUUGCUAACUAGCAAAUACAUGAAUGCCAAUAAUACAAAACCAAAACCAAAUCAUCAACACUAUCUUUAUUGAGACUAAUGAAAAUAAUAUCAAUCCUACGAAGAGACAUUUCAUUUCACUCAAAUUUCAACAUCAAUAAUGUCAAUGACAAAGCAUUAUUUCAAUGUUAUCAACACCAGAACAAAACUAGAAGAAAGCAAGAGUGAAUCAUCACUCAAGGCUCUUUAGCAAACAAAUUAACCAAAAUUGAAGAUACCUUAUUCAGUAUUCGAUACCAAUCCUUCAACAAAACUUAGUUAUAGAUAACACAUCAUCAAGGAAUGAUUCACCACAUCCAAGACUUAAUAAAAUCUAACACUAUAAACUAAACUCAACCAAAUGAUAUUGACAAAGGUAGAGUUGACAUGCCAACAUGGAAAACCCAUGCAAGCUCAUGACACAAUCCUCUAUAACACCAUUCAAUAAAGCAAAUCCAUCACUGAUAAAUCUUCAUCGAGUGAAGCAAGUGUCAACAGUCUUUGACAAAGUCUACAAGCAAUCACUAAUCGCAAAGCAACUAACAAUCACUUUUCAACUUGCCUUCACAAGAACUAAACACUAAACUCACGCCAUCGAGUUCUAUACUUGUCCAACAUGAACAUAAUACCCCAGGUACGAGAUAAAGGUUUAUGGAUAAGCAUAAACUAAAUGACCAUUCAAAUUCAACUCAACCACAAUAAGCCCACUAAUGCAUUUAACCAAUAGCUCUAAGCAUGUCUUGAAGAGGCUAGCUAUGCAUGAUCAACCCUCAGUCAAAACUAAAGUGAAGUCCAUGAGAUGGACUUAUAUCGGUACACAACCUCCUCAUAGACAAAGCUAUAGUACGGGUACCAAUAUCUUAACUGCAAAUAAUUAAGUUGGACAUCAUUAUCCUCAGCCAAGGCACAAGGCUAUCAAGACUAAGUCAAGAUCAAUGAGAGCUCACUACUCUCAUAGAGUCUUAGCAAAAUGUAAGGUGCAACUUGCCACCAAGCAUAAUGGUAAAAAAAAAGCACAAAGGUCACCUUUCUAGAAAAGCACAAUAGACAUUUUUUUAUACCAACCCUAAACUCUAUCCAACUCAAUUACUUUAGCCCCAAAAGUCAGCAUUUCUUUUAGGUUGCAUCAUACAAACUACCUACUAAGAUUUAAACCAACCCAAGUCAAUUCCAACCCCUUCAUUAGUUUGUAUUAGCUUAUGAAAAUGGAAUGGUUUUCGAGCAAAAUGAUCAAUAGAUCAGCUAUUGGAUAAGUCUAAGAAAAUUUGUAAAAAUUUUUCCAUUAUAGAGAAAGAAUGACUCUCAGUCUAGAAACACAAACUUUCAACACUUAAUCAACUUCCUCCUACUAACAACUUUACAUAGAUUUACCUCAACACAAAUUCUCAUGAUCAAACAAUAUGCUUAAGUAUCGAAUAUCAUGCCUAUAUUUCCAAUAUUCAACACCAACAUCCAUAAAAUGCAAAAUGAACAUCUAAGCUUGAUCACGAAAACCAUAUCUUCAGAUAUCCAUAUUGCACUAACACCCUUCUUCAAUAAUUUUCAAGAACUAAUGUGAAGCCAAAAUACUAACAAGAAAAAUGACAUGAAAAAUCAAGUUCCAAGGAAAAACUUUUUAUCACUUGAAAUAACAAUGCCACUUCCACUAACACUAAUGCUAGUGAUGUCAAUACUUCAACUACACAUUUUCUCUAUCCAAUAAUCUACUCCAAGUGCUAAUGGAUAAACUAAUAAGCCAUAACAAAUGAAUGUUAUAACCCUUUCCAACACCACAUGGGCAAACUCUCAUGGAAACAAAGUACCAACUUAAGCUUAGUAUAAUGGACUGCCAUUGAGAAUCCAGUCAAGGUUACUUUAAUGUUAUUAUAUGUAAGUAGACUAGCUUCUCCAUUAACCACUUUGGGGUUGAUCAUCAUUUACCCAAACAACUUCAUAAAUACAUUGCUCAUUAUCACAUGGAUAUGAUAUAAAAAUCACAAUGUCUUGAUCAUCAAUCAAGCAACACCAUGAGCAAUGUCAAUGUCAUUAUUUCAAAGGUGUAUAUAAAUAUCAAGUGCCAACUCAAUUUGACAAAAUGCAACAUAAAUGCCACACUCCAUUGAUAGAGAUUUACAACACCCAACACCACUAACUUUUGUUCAUAACAUGGACAAGCUCAUGCCACUCUCUUUCUGACUAAACUCAAAAUUAAUCCAACAUCAAGCUACUUAAGGAGCAAUAACAAGGUUCUCCAGAAAAAAAUUGAGCACUGUAACUCAAAUCUUCAAUAACAAACUUAGACAAAAUGGUUUAGCACUUCACCACUAUCCAUCCCAUGACUCACUAUUUAUAAGACUAUCAUUUCUAACAUGCAUCAAGGUAGAGACUCUUGAUUGCAUGAUGUGAAUACAAGCAAUAAGUCAACACCUCGUUGCAAAUCAUCUCUCCAAGAAAAGAAGAUGAUUUACGUAUUUGAUCUUUUGUCCCUAACGACUCUCUUUUCAAUCUCAUUUUUUACCAAACUUUAAGUUUGCUUUCGCACUGCCUUUAGUCCAAUCCAAGAAAAGUUUAUGAGAGAGCAUGGCAAUGAUUACUUGAACCAAUAGACUAAUCCCUAUAGUCUUGAUUGAUCCACUUAUAAUCAUGCCUAGGAAGGAUUCACUAGUGCCAUGCUAAACAAUUAUAGACUAGUCUAUUUGCCACUCUUAGCAAACCUAGAGAAGGUUUACUUUCACCCACAGUACAUGGAACAACUCAUGGAACCACUGAUGCUAACUCAAAGUGUAACCUUAAGUUGUUAAUAUGCCUUACUCAUGAACCCAAGUGUAAACUUGUGCAAAAGAAUACACCUCAAUCCCUCUUAUGAGCCCAAGAGCAAGCUCACAUUAUUAUGGUACAAAAAGGUAACCAAAUCCAUACUCAAGGAAUGAAUGCGAAACCUUUGUACCCAAACAUUUACCCACUCAAAUCAUCAUUUUCAUCUUUGUGUAUGCAACGAGACUAGUUGCUCAAUCUCAUUGGAUAGUACUUGCCAAGACUCAUCUAAUACCAAAUGUAGUGCACAUGGUUUUUACCCUUUAUCCUAUGAUGAUUUACCAUAGGAUAACCAUAGAAACAGAAUCUAAACCCUUUAUAUGCCACAUAUCCAAAGAAUAGUGGUGUGGAAUAUGAGAUUCAAGACCUUGGGCUACUGAAUGAAAGAAUGGUUCCAUCAUUCUUUGGCUUCAUGCUUAGGAGUUUGGCACCAUUCUUUCAUUCAGUGGCCUAAGGCUUUGAAUCUUGGGUUCCACACCAUUGUCCUUUGGACACGUGGCAUGUGGCACAUGGCAUAUAACAUGUGGUAUAUGGAAGGUUUAAGUUCCACUUCCAUGGUUAUUCUAUAGUAAAUCACCAUAUGAUAAAGGGUAAAAACCACUGUGCGCAACAAAGUUUCACAGUUUGGAUUUUUGGAUUUAGAUAGAGUUUCUUUUUAAAGGGAGAAUUUCCUCAUUUUAAUCUAUAUCAUUGGGAUUUUGGGAAGUUUGUUUUGCAUCCACAUCCCUCGCAGGUGUCCAUUCCCUUGUUAUCUCCCUUAGAGGAGAUACUAGAGGUGGUGGCUCAAUGGCAUGAAGGGGCAUAAGAUUCUCUUAAGCUAUGUAAUGUUUGUAGAUGCAUUACAAAAAGAUAAAUACCCUUAUCUUCACUUGCCUUCUCUUGCCUAUUUGUAAGGCAAUAUGUUUUAUUUCAGCUACAAAUCUAUUGUAAGCAAAAUGAGUUAUGUUUAUUUGGAUUCCAAUCUCGAUAGCUUCCAUUAGGUGAACUAUCUUGAUGUCGGCAUUUUACAUAACCAUCCUCUUAUCAAUGAUGGCACACAGCAUCUUAAACCUCACAUGAUAAUCAAAGUCUAGGUAGGUUUUGAGCUCAUAAGCUCAUAACUUCUUAAACACAAGAAAAACAUUGAUUUGUCCCAAACUAACAUUUUUUCAUCUUUCAAAUUUUGAUUUAAUCUAUAUUUCCAAGUAAAUUCAACCAAUAAAAUACAAAUAUAAAUAUAGAUCCGAACAUUAAAAGAAAUUUAAAAGCACUUUUGAAGCUUCACAAUUGUAAAGCUUGUCUAGUGCAUGUGAUGGUUGAUCUUAAGAUCUUGAUUUAAUUUCUACAUAAAAAUGUAAUAGAUGUGCUUGCAAGUUAAAUAUACCUUUCCCCUAUUCUCCCUCUGUAUAAAAUCUAAAUAGGUACAAGAUGGAUUUUUGCGGAUUCUAAUGGUGUAGUUCGUACUUUUUAACGACUCAGUUACAACAACAAACUCCUUAGCCAUAACAAUAAUAUAGUUUAUCCUUGUGACCUUUUUAUACCUUGUGACCUUUACAUACCUCUCCAUUGAGUUUCAUCCCUCAAAACUAGGUAUAGACCAGUUUUUAUAUCUUCUCAACCAGCACAAUCAUUUUUGUUGAAUUGACCAUGACAGUAUCCUUAAUCAUUAAUAGGGGAGAAACCAUAUAAUAUGCAAAAACUUGUUUAUAUAAGUAGCUAUAUUGAGAACAAAUAGCCUCUAUAAUGUGAUAAAAUAUAGAAAAAUAACAUCUCUUGGACUACCAACAAGUAGUCCCAGCAUACUCAAGCUUACCCUUGAGGCAAACUAAUAAGAAAGAGAAAAAUAUGAGAAAUCUGAAUCCCAUAAUAUCUUUCACAUAUACAGAUUGACAUUAAUAUAUGUAUAAUAUACACAUAUACUGCCAAUAAUUUAGAAACUUCCAUUGUGUGUGUCUUUCAAAGCAUGUGUAACCUUUUUUGGUUUUUUUCUAUCACAUCAUCUUGAGACCCUCAGAUUCUUAAUCUCUACAAAUGGAUGAGAUAGUUGCAUUCUUGAAUACGGAACUCCAGCUCCGAAAGAUGCUGUGGAGGGGGUUCAAUUUCUCAUUUUGCCUUAGAGGAGAGUUAGUUUUCAGAGACAAUAAUAAUUUAAAAUUGAUUUUUCUAUGUCUAGUAUAACAUAGAAUAAGAUUAAUCAUUCUUAAUAAUUUUUCCAUCUUAAAUGUUUUACUAACUAAGCUUGUAAAAUUUAGUACUUAAAAAGUUAUUAUUUUUAUUCCUAAUAAUAAUUUUUUAUUCUUAAUUAAAUAAAAAUAAAUUACUUCCUAGGAUCAACCACUUGAUAACAUUGCACUUACACUAACAAUUAAUCUUUCUAAGAGCAAACAUUGGAGUUGGAGAACUUCCAAAGCAGGGAAAGGAAAAGUGUUCCUCUAUGAAGCUACACUCUCCAACCUCACUAAAUCUCUUGAGUAGUUAUCAAAAGCUUUGGCUACACAAGGAACAAGGUUUGCUAGUAUAGGUCCAAACUUAAACAAGCUUCAAGAGCAGGUUGGUAGAAGGACAACACUAGUAGUAGAGUCAAUGUCUAAAAUAGUGGAGGAAGUUGUUGUUGGAACUCCUAUAGAAUCAAGUUAUGAACCACUUGAGGAUAUGAGAACAGCCCAUAUGAAGCGUUGACAAACAUUUGAUGAACUUACCAUCACUCCUUCCAAUUCUCACUGUCUAGAGUCUGAUUACCAUUCUAUCCAUGACACCGGAGAAGAACCAAGGAACAUGGAGUGGAGGAGGUGCUAGUUAUUACACAAGUAAAUUCAGUGUUAAAGGUUAAGAAGGUUAUAUCUUGUAAGCUAGUUUCUUGUAUCAACUGGGCAAAUCGAAAAGUUAGUGCCAAGAGUAAUGCAUGUUGCUCUAGAAUGAUUGGGAGUCAAGAUUAGUGUCUUGCAUUUGUUCACUUAGGUUUGAGUUCUUUAAUAAUACCAUAUUUCUAUGGUUGUUGAGAUCUAGGGGUAAAGGGUUGUUAGUCAAGUUGGAUUUACUGUUGUGGGACUAAUGUUUUUCAUAUAAACCGAAUCUACAACUCAAUUAUCUCAAAGCAAGAUUCUGUGCCACAGAAGUGGCUAGUUGAGCAAAGCUACAAUCUCUUGAAAAAAGAUAUUGAAAGUCUAGAGAGAGUAGGUUUUAAAUUGAAGACUUCCUCAAAUAUUGUUGUUGAUAUUAUUAUGCCACCAAUGUCAACAUUAGAUUGGCAUACAUGACCAGUUAAAAAUGAGAAGGCUAUACAAUAUAGGCUUUCCAUUUCAAAAGGUGCAAAUCAAGCUAGCAAAGGCAUUGAAGUGCACAAUCACAAGGAUAAACUAUAUUAAUGUUGUGGCUAAGGAGUUUAUUGUUGUGACUGAGUCGUCAAAGGUAUGAAGUACAUUGUCAGAAUCUACAAAAAUCCAUCUUGUACAUAUCUAGAUUUUACACAGAGGUAGAACAAUGUAAAGGUAUAUUUAACCUAUAAGCACAUUUAUUACAUUUUUAUGCAGAAAUCAAAUCAAGAUCCUAAGAUCGACUAUCAUAUCCACUAGGCAAGCCUUACAAUUGUGGAGCUUCAAAAGUGUUUUUAGAUUGCUUUUAGUGUUUGGAUCUAUAUUUAUAUUUAUAUUUUAUUGGUCAAUUUUACUUGGAAAUAUAGAUUAAAUCAAAAUUUGAAAGAUGAAAAAAUGUUGGUUUAGGACAAACCAAUGUUUUUCUUGUGUUUGAGAAGUCGUGAGCUCAUGAUCUCAAAACUUACCUAAGCUCCAACUAUCUAGGCUUAAAGUGUUAUGUGUUAUCAUUAACAUGAGGAUGGUUGUGCAAAAUAUUAACAUCAAAAUAGCUUGCCUAAUAAAAGCUAUUGAGACUAGAGUCCAAAUAAACAUAGCUCAUUUUACUUAUAAUAGAUUUGUAGCCGAAAUGAAGCAUAUUGCCUUACAAAUAGGCAAGGGAAGGCAAGUGAAGAUAGGGGUAUUUAUUGUUUUGCAGUGCAUUUACGAACAUUACAUAACUUAAGAAAAUCCUAUGCCUCUCCUUGCCAUUGAGCCACCACCUCCAGUAUCUCCUCUAAAGGAGAUAACAAAGGAAGGGACACGUGCAAAGGAUGUGGAUGCGGAACAAACUUCUUAAAAUCCCAAUGAUAUGGAUUAAAGUGAGAAACUUCUCCCUUCAAAAAGAAACUCCACAUAAAUCCAAAAAUCCAAACUAUGAAACCUUUAGAGUUUGUUUUGCAAAAAUUCAAUGGCCAUAUAUGCCACAAAAAAACUGGACACAGUAAGUAUGGUGAUAAAAUGCCACGCUUAAAUCAGGAAUAGUCAUGACUCAUUUAUGUCUUUAGAGACGACCCUAAACCAUUAUGGACAAUUAAUAAUUAUUGUUCUCAGGCACCAUCUAUUCUUCCUAUACAAAUUUCAUUUUUUUUACUAUUUUAAUUUUAACUUAAAUUUUUUUAAUCUAAUAAUUUUAAAAAUUAUAAUAAAUUUUUAAGUAUUAAAUUUUACAAGCUUAGUUAGUAAAACAUUUAAAAUGGAAAAUUUAUUAAGAAUGAUUAAUCUUAUUCUUUGUUAUACUAUACAUAGAAAAUAUUUGUAAAUAUAAAGUAGCAUAUUAAUGUGCCAUCCUAACUUUUAAUAUACUACAAAUAUAAAAAGUAAUAAUGCUAUAAUGUAUAAUAAACUUUUAAAAUAAAGGUUAAACCAGCUGAAAUUAAUAUUUUAUACAUAAUUAAAACUAUUUUUAUUAUAUUAAUGUUUUAAAAUUAAUUGUGAUAUCCUUAAUUUUAAAAUAAUAUAUGGUAGAGUUCUAUUAUGUUGUGAGGGCCAAGUGUACAGCUACGAUGCCGUAUAUUAAUAUUAGCAUAGUGGGAUUUUGGUAGCCGUCGGAUUGAUUUCAAUCUAGACCACUCGCUCCUAUAUAUAAGGUAGGGUUUUUGGGCUAAUUGAGAGGCACAUUUCUGUAUUCCCUUUCCAUAUUCCAUGCACUCACAUUGGUGGAGGUGAGGGGCACCUUUGAUUGUCCCUGGGGAGUGCUUGAAUUUGGGAUUUCGGUUUAGAUCUAGCUUUUGCAUCGUCUAGAUCUAGCUUUUUCCAUUUCCUUUCUUUUGUUCUUUCCUUUCAGGAUUUUGGUUUAGAUCUAACUUUUUGCAUUGUCUAGAUCUACCAUUUCUUUCCAGCUUUUUGUCAUUUCUCUUCUUUUGCUCUUUCUUUUUCCUUCAUCUUCAUGGCCGAUCUGCAAUCUCCUCCUUUGACUCUAGAGCAGCAGUUGGUUCAAUUGCUUGAUGCUAUGUGCUUGCAAUUGAACAACCAAACUCAAUUGAUGGCGGCAUUCAUGGCACGUGGUCCAACUCCUCCUGCUCUUGGUGCCAAUCCUCGCGUUCAGCCAGAGUUCUUUCGUGGAAAUCCUGGGGAUGAUGUGUACCAUUGGUUCAAUCACUUCACGGUGAUUGCCAUAUAUCAUUCUUGGGAUGAUGCUCGACGUUUGCGUGAGUUUCCCACAUGUCUCCAAGGGACGGCGUUGCAGUGGUAAAUGGAUUGAGUGCGGCCACUCAUGGGGAUUGGAGUGUUUUUCUGGACGUCUUCAAACACGCCUUCGGAUAUGCCGACGAUUGUGACGAUGCCUUCCAACAAUUGCAUCACCUUUGCUAAGGGCCAUCUGAGUCAGUGAUGCAAUUUGGUGUUCAUUUCCGAAGUCUUUUGCUUCGCGCGGAGCCUAAUAUAUCGGAGCGGAUCAAGCUAGGAAUGUUGUGGCCAGCACUUCGUCAAGAUCUUGUUGGCCUUGUGCAUGCACUUACUCCUGCCACCCUUGACAAUGCCCUUCACUUGACACAAUGUUAUGAGACGACGCCUCUUCCACUUCUCGCUACACAUCCUUCAGCUCCACUUCCUAUGAGUGAUAGUCCUGUUCCAAUGGAGGUUGAUGCUGCUGCUACUUGAGUCCACGGACAAGGGCGUGGACGUGGUCGUAGCCGUGAUGUUUGUUGUUGGGCGUGUGAAGUUGGUCAUACUUAUCGGCAUUGUCGACGCUUUCCGGAUUGGUGACCUCCAUUUCCUGGAUGGAGACCUUGGCGUCAGCAACGUCCUGUUGGUGCUGCGGUGGAAGGUUUGGACACCGAGGUGCAUCCGGGAAACGAGGAGUCGCGCGAGUAACGGAGGGACCUUGCGCAAAUAAGUUAGUGACCCCUCCAUCUUUCUUUCGAGAGUAUCAUCAAGGGGUUCACUCGGCACCGGUUCAUCUAGUGUUUACUUUCCAAGCUCGUUUUUAUAACAAAAGGUCUCCUAUUCUUCUCUCCGUGUUGGUUGAUAUAGGUUUGAGUUUAAUAUCUUCUAUUGCUCGACCUGUUGCCACACGUUGUUGUCUACACUUGCGUCAUGCAGCGGAUCCAGUUUUCAUUCUUUAUGGCAACGGCCGUACACAUGCAUGUGCAUGAGAUGAGGCGGACCUGGUUGUGCGUGUGGGCGAUCUCGAGCUUGAGUUGUAGUCGUUGCGGGUGGUGCCAAGUCAAGUUUUUUACCUCAUUCUUGGUAUGGAUUGGUUGCAGUGCAAUCAUGCCAAGUGUGAUUUUGAGGCUUCUCCCCCUUGUCUCAUACUUCCUUAUGUUUCAUCCAUUCCUCUCACUUCCGUACUUCUUUGUCCCUCUACUUCUACCUCUGUUUCUAUUACUUUUGUUUCCCCACUAUUUCUUCUUAUGUUUCCAUCUUGUUUUGCUCUUCCCUUUUCCGAUCCAUCCGAAGAUCUUUGUGUUGCAACUGUUGAUCGGCUCAUGAAGGAGUAUUUUGAUCUCUUUGAAUUUGACCUAUCUUCUGGGGCCAAGAUUGCCACAUGUCAUCCGAUUCCAACCGGGGAUGCUCGUCCAAUCAAGGUUCCUGUUCGUCAUCGGUCACCCAAGGAGAUCAAGAUUUUACAUGCAAACAUCAAGGAGAUGUUAGAGAAGGGUGUUAUUCGGAAGUCGCGGAGUCUUUGGGCAUGUGAACCUCAUCUUGUGACGAAGCCUGAUGGGAGUAUUCGUUUCUGCGUUAACUAUCGUCCGUUAAAUGAAGUGACGAUCCCGGAUGUGUACCCUCUUCCUCACGCGGCUAAUCUCUUGGAUCGUCUAGGGCAAAGUCGUUGGUUCACCAAGCUCGAUCUUGCUUCUAGGUACUAGCAAGUACCGAUGGCUGAAGAAGAUAUUCCUAAGACUGCUUUUCGUACACCAUUUGGUUUGUACGAGUUCUUAGUGAUCCCGUUUGGUUUGAACAAUGCUCCAGCAACUUUCCAACGGAUGAUGGACGAGGUUCUUUGUGAUAUGCCAGAGGUGACUGUUGACUUCAUUGAUGAUGUCUUGAUUCACUCGGAGGGGACGUGGGAGGAGCAUAUUCGUGAUGUGUGUAAAGUGUUGGAUCGAGUAUGGGACAUUGGUUUAAAGCUGAAGCGGUCGAAGUGCGUGUUUGGAUCCAAGGACACAACUUAUCUUGGGUACCGUAUUUCUCGUGAAGGUUUGCAAGUUGAUCCUGACAAACUUGUUGCCAUUCUAAAGUUCCCUACUCCGAAGUGUGUGAAUGAUGUGCAGCACUUCCUGGGCAAGGUGCAGUAUCUUGGUCGUUUUGUGGAUCAUCUUUUUGAUCGCACUGCACCAUUGCGAGUGUUGCUAAAGUCAUCAACGUCAUCUUUCAUCUGGUCUUCAGAUUGUGAGCAGGCAUUUGUGAAUCUCAAAGAGCUGUUAAUGACUCCUCCUGUUUUGGCAUAUCCUGACUACACUCAACCUUUUAUUUUGCGCGUAGAUGCUUCUGAUAUUGGUCUUGGAGGUGUGUUGAUGCAAGAAAGCCCGAGUGUGCCUGGUCAGCGUCAUCCCAUUGCAUAUAUAAGCCGUACAUUACAACCAGCAGAAGUGAACUACUUCACCACAAAGAAGGAGUGUUUAGCGGCAGUUUGGGGUUUUGAGAAACUUCAUGCAUAUCUACAUGGUUCUCGGACAUUACUUGAAGGUGACCAUGUUGCCGUUACUUCAUUAUUGAAGUGGAAGAACCUGGUUGGUCGUACUGCUCGGUGGGCUUUAAAGCUUUAGAUAUAUAAUUUUGAUGUUGUUCAUCGCCCAGAGAGUUCUAUGGCUGAUGCUGAUGCCCUUUCUCGAGCUCCUUUUCCUUCUCCACUCUCUUCUCAUGUUUCUGAUGAGCCUGUUGUUCCAGCAUCUAUGGAUUUUCUAGACAAGGAUUUUGUGCCGUCGGCGGUUGCUAUACUUGACAUUCAAUGUCCACAAGGUGCUGAGCAAGAUUUACCUUCUCUUGAUGAGGUUUGUGAGGCUCAAAAGAUUGAGCCGUGGAUUUGAAGGCUUCGAGAUGCAUUUGAGAAUCCUACAUCACUUACUGAUGACUUGCCUUUUUGGCAUUUACAUUCUCAAUAUCGUCUUGAAUAUGGCCUCCUUUAUUUUGUGGGGACGGAUCCUGAUAAUCCUUUACGGCUGGUGGUGCCUUCUAUUUUUAUUCCGCAGUUUCUCCAUGCCUAUCAUGAUUCUCCUGUUCUAGGUGGGCAUAUGGGACAUCAUCGUGUGACUGAGAAGCUGUGCAGGUCUUUCUAUUGGCCAGAGAUGCGACGUGAUGUUAUCCGGUAUGUGCGUAGCUGCGUUUGGUGCCAAGCUCGUAAUACUCCCCCUUGUGCUGCGAAAGGACAGUUGGAGUCAAUUGCAGUUUCCCGUCCAUUUGAAUUGGUGGCGUUUGAUCUUAUGGGACCUUUUCCAUGGUCAACUACUGGCAAUGAGUAUGUUAUUAUUACUUCUGACUACUUGACUCGUUGGGUGGAAGUUGGUGCUUUUGCUAGCGCCUUUGCAAUUGUUGUUGAAUACUUCCUCCUCAAUCGAGUGGUGUUCCAGCAUUCUUGUCCAAAGCGGAUUCUUUCGGAUAAUGGUCCUGCAUUUAUGGCUGAGGUAUUUCAUGUUUUGACGUCUCGGUUAGGGAUACGCCACACUUUUACGAGUGCUUAUCAUCCACAAUCAAACGGUCUGGUGGAACGGCUCGUUCGGAUAUUCAAAAGGAUGAUUGCGAUGUGAACUUUCAGCAUUCGGAUUGGGAUGGUUAUUUGCCAUCUCUUCGGUAUGCUUAUGUCACAGGGGUGCAGAGUUUUGUUGGUGCUUCAUCAUAUAAACUUCUAUAUGGUCAUGAUCCAAUAUUACCAACGGAGCUGGGUUUACCUUUGCGAUUGCCACGAGCUCCUGAUGCUAGGUCAUGGGAUCAAUAUUUGAUGAGCAUUCUUCCACUUUUCUGAGCAGAGUCUGCCGAACACUUAGGCUGCGUACAAGUGGGACAACAACGGCGCUACAACUCCCAUCAUCGUCCAUCUACAGAGUACAAAGUGGAUGAUUUGGUGUUAGUCCGUUUUCCCCAUCUUACGGUACGUGGUUUAUCUAAGGGGCUCCUUGCGCAGUGGAAAGGACCAUAUCGGGUGUUGCGGCAAGUUGGACCACAAGUUUAUGAGGUUUGGCAUGACGUUCAGCAGGCUAAUCUUGCUUCAUAUAAAGGGAUUAGGAGCAGUUAAUACCGUCUACAGAUCCGCAAUUGCCUCCUCCUAACGUUCCUCCAGAUCCCGGCCCAUCUACAAGAGAACCUUGACGGCCUUCCAUUAUUCCGAGAGGAGGGGAUGAUGUGAGGGCCAAGUGUACGGCUACAAUGCCGUAUACUAAUAUUAGCGUAGUGGGAUUUUAGUAGCCGUCGGAUUGGUUUCAAUCCGGACCACUCGCUCCUGUAUAUAAGCUAGGGUUUUUGGGUUAAUUGAGAGGCAUAUUUCUGUAUUCCCUUUCCAUAUUCCAUGCACUCACAAUGUGAAUUUGAACAUUAAAUGAAUAGCAAAUGAUAUGUUCUGAGUUGGGCAUUAAACACAAAAUAUUUAUCAAGCACAAAAUAGUUAACAUUGUUUAUAACUACUUCCAAGAGCUCUGGCUCAACCAGGUCCUCCCAGAGUGUUCAACAAUGUCCCCUUUUUCAUGUCACAGUUCUGUCACCAUUGUGACAUGUGAUGGAUUGGAGCGAGCUUAAAAGCAGGAGAACGAGGACGCAACCAAAGCUUCACAGGUGUGAGAGGUCGCGAGUUCGACUCACAACUAUCGAAUGAUUUUAACCCUAAUUUCUAGGGUAUCAGGCAUGGCUCCAAAGCGUGGCUCGGGAGAAAUGGAAGUUGCGUGUGUGCAAGGUGCGCAAAAGAGGUGGGCAUUCUCAGCAGGCAUGAGCGUGGAGGAGGCACUAGGCCAUAUCUCGAGGGAGACAGAAACGAGCGCUCAUCUGCUGGUGCUGGAAUCCAAGGCAGGAGAGGCAGAAAUCAUUCUGGCGAGGGACUCCAAGCUUGCUGCUAGUGUCGAUUAUAGGGUUCGGGUUGGAACCGAGUCACUUCCAAAGCGAUGAUUUGUAGCUGGGCUUGCAGUCGAUCUAGUGUCACAUUACUACAUCACCCCCGACAUGGAUGACCUGGUAUCCAACCUGGCGCAAGGUAAGUACUGCGUGCUGUGUGGCCCUCGGCAGAGUGGAAAGACGACAAUGGUGCUGCAGCUCAAAGGAUGCUCAUGUUACAGUCCAGAGCGACUUUGGUCUACCUAGAGGGACUAGAGGGUGCGAGGAUGAGUUGGAGCAGCCAUGACUUUUGGGGCUAUCUCUGCGACAGCCUCACCUUGAAGCAUCCCACUUUCUUCCCCAAGCAGCAGCUACCAUUUUAUACAUCUCUCGUCUUCAAGUCGCUCUUCGCAAGGAGCAAGCUGCCGACACUGGUGACUGUCGUCCUUGACGAGGCAGAUUCUCUGCUGGACGUACCGUCGGACAUCGUGCACGAGUUCUUUGCCACCAUCAGAAGCAUCAAGAGCGACAAGAAUGCGUACAACUUGCACGGCUUCCUGCUUGUUGGGGUGGAGACUGUAAAGGAUCUUCUUGAAGCACAAUAUGACAUGCGUGUUGCGGAUGCAGCAAGGACUGAUCGCACGUAUAUGCCGAGUUCUACUCCAAGUAGGGUGUCUCCCUUUCCGCACGACCAUGUCUUGGCAUCCUCGAGGUUCACUCUGGAACAUGUGAGGGAACUGCUACAGCAAGCAGUAGCAGAUCGUCCAAGUGUGGCCAUCGAGGUAGACAGCAUUGCAGCGUCGAUAAUCCAGUGGACCGGCGGUCACAAAGGCCUUACAGGCACUUGCCUGGCUUACCUUGUUCAGGAGCAGCUCUAGACGUUCAGGUGCUGGCUCCGGCAAGUAGAGUCGUAUCGCCUGGGAACCUACAUAUUCGGACAGGCUACGUACAGUAGGAUUCUUGGCUUCAUUCAGAAACAGGAGCAGGAUGCCGAGGCAUGUAAGCUGCUGAUCCGAUACCUGGAGACUCCUGGUUUAUAUUGCGGACCAGAGACACUAGUGCAACUCUGCGAUUUUAUUGCACACGGGGUGCUCGCAGCAUCUGCGGUUACAGUUUUGGACAGUGACGAUGAGAAAAGUGAGGAAGAAACGUAUUAUGUACGCAUUUCUAUGCCACUGCUUCGGACUGCUAUGCUCCGGAGGUGCACCGUCUUCUGCGAUGACGUGGAUGCACCCCCUUGUGCUACUCGACUCGACCACGUGUGGCUCCUCCUCCAGGCCAUCAAGACCCUGGACGGAGAAGUUAUGUGCAGGCCCGAGUGCUUAAGAGCUAGAGGAGCAGGUCCUUCUAAAUACACACACCAGUUCCUCUUCCUAUGCAGGAUGGCACCAUCUUGAAGCACGCUUACCCUUGCAUUCCAGUGACAGUGCUACCUGAAGUCAAGGAGGAGAUUGUGCUAGAUCAGAGGCGGUCUGAGAUGCGCUGUGACUUUCUAAUUUGCGACGGUCCCAACUUCUCCAAGUUUGCAGUGAAGCUUGUUGCGAACGGUACUAUGACACAGGUACUUGAGCACGUGACAAGGGCACUUCUUUACCAUGAUCAGUAUUCAGCACAGAUUUUCGUUAUCAACUUCUGCAUGGACAGGCCCAAGGGGCAGGAGCACAUUGUGGUUCCUGGUCAUGACUCGCUUGUUUUUAUGUCCAUCAACUUUCAUCCCAGCAAGUGCACGGCAAGUGUCACCAUUGUCGACUCAACUGGCAAAAGAGAGGUGGAGGUGGUGUGACUUAAAAAUUGGAGCGGAUAUAUUUCGUUUGAGGAUGCCUUUGUUAUGAUCCGGCACAAAAAGACAAAGAUCUAGUCGCCUUAGACUAUGUUAUGCCACUUCUUGAGGUUCCUCACCACCCAACCACCCUAGAGCUACCUCAUUCUUAAUGUUUUAGUGGCAAAUAGGUAUUUUAAACAAAAGAGUAAUUUUAAUAAUAUCUAGAUCUGGGUGGCAAUAUUUCCUACUUAAUAGAGGUUUUGAUUUCUGACUUAAUUUAAUGAAUAUAUUCACUAUAUUUAGUUUUAUUAAAUAUAAAAUUAUUACUAUAAAUCCAUUUGAGUGUAAAGCUCCACUACGCUGCUGCUCCACUGUGAACCCUAGGGUAGGUUGAGUCCCUUACCCUAACAUGCUUUAAUACCCUUGAGCCGAUGUUGACCAUAUGGUCAAAAUUGGCACCUAACAAUUCUUCCCCCCCAACAAAGUCCUUGUCCCAAGGAUGAAUUGUAUCAGUGAUCACCCUUUUUGGGGAACUUUGCUCAAGCUCUUGGUCUAUCAUCAUCAAACAAAAUUCAAUAGCCAGUGUAUCAUAAAGAAAACUCAAUGACAAAACUAACUAUAAAAGAUUGUAAAUAACAUGCUAAGCAACUUAUGUUAGAUAAUUCAAAGAACACAAAGUAUCAUUGAUUAACAAGAAAAAUACUCACAAAUGUAUUCCAUAAAGGAAAUAACAUCCAAUCUAUUAAAAUUAACUAUAGCAACAAUCAACAAAAUAGAAUGAAUGUUGCAAGAUCAACAAACACUUAUUUAUGCUAAUUAUCAUAUUAUCCAAUCUCAAUAAAUCCUAGUCAAUGUACUAAGGGACUCAAGUUUCUUAAUCAAGAGCCAAUGAUAUCUUACUGAUGUCUUAAACUGAAGAAACUAAUCCAAAGCAAACCACAAGAUUUUGUGAUAUUGCGAAAAGCCAAAAGCUAUCAAAGAUAAUAACUAACUAUCAUGAAAGAUCAUCAAUCAUCUCAUCAAUAGAGAUAUGCAUAAUCAUUUUGGAAGAAAUUAUCCACCAUCAAAUCAUUUACCACUAAUAACAACCAAGUGAAACUUUUAACAAGAAUAAUCAACUAUCCUAAGAUGAUUAUUAUUCAUCAUCAAUAAUUGCCAAAUGUAAAUACUAACUUCAACAUUGAAGUUAAUGAGCCAAAUAUGCCUUCCCCAACAACUCGUAAAAAAUAAAAAUAAUGAGCAUAAGAACUUAAAGAACCAAAAGUUUAAAGAAGCCUAUAGCCAAGUUUUGCAUAAUAAUUAUCACAAGUCUUGUAUGAACUAAUUUCAAUGUUAAAGAAGAAAUCAUGGUACAAUCCACAAUAUCCUCCUCAACAUAUCUAUAACCUAAACUUUAUAAUGCAAAGCUAAUAAAUAGCAUAUUUACAUCAAUUCAAAAGCCAAACAUAAUGAAGUUAUAGUUAACAAGUGACCACAAACUAAUCCUCUAUGAAUCUAUUUUUUAUAGCAAUAUGUAACUCACUUCAUAACAAACACAAAAAGAAUCAUCAAUAAUCAAUAUAUCCCAACUCAAAUCUAACAAGGAUUUAAACAUUCUAAUAUUAAUCACUAAUUCUUCCUCUCGUAAAGUUAAUAUAGCCUAUGACUAAGUCACUUUUCAAAAAAAAGCUAAAACUCAACCCCUACUAAACAAUCUCAUCUAAAACACAACUAACUCAACUUGGCGUGAGUUUAGUGUUUGGGUUUUAUGAAGGCAAGUUGAGUGAUUAUUGGUUGCUCUAUAACUAAUAAUUGUUUGUAAAUUUCAACAAGGACUAUUAACAUUUACUUCACUCAAUGAUGAUUCAACAAUAAACUUGUUUUACUAGAUGGUGUUGUGGAGGAUGAUGUUGUGGCUUGUAUACCUUUCCCAUAUUGGCAUGUUAAUUCUACCCUUGUUGAUAUCAUUUUGUUGCGUUUAGUCUAUGGUGUUAGAUUAUAUUGAGUCUUAGACAUGGUGAAUCACUCAUUGAUGAUGUGUUAUCUAUAACUAAGUUAUGCUGAAGGUUUAGUGUCGAAUACUGAGUAAAGUAUUUUCUACCUUAGUUAACUUGGUUGCUAAAGAACUUUGAGUGGUGAUUUGCUUUUGCUUUCUCUUAGCUUUGUUUUGGUGUUGAUGACAUUGAAGUGAUGCCUUGUUAUUGAUAUUAUUGUUGUUGAGAUUUGAGUGAAAUGAGAUAUCUUUUCAUAGAAUUGAUAUUGAGUUUCAUAGUCUUGAUGUAGAUAAUGUUAAUAAUUUGGCUAUAGCUUUGUGUUAUUGGCAUUCAUGCAUUUUCUGGUUAGCAAUUAUAUUGACGUUCAAAUGAACUAAGUGGCAUUGAGUCAAAUACUUGUCCAAUAGAAAUGUACACUCAAAGUACCAGAUAUAGGAACAUGGACAAACACAGACUAAAUAACCAUUUGAAUCCAAUUGAACCACAAUAGCUCACUAACACAUUUAGCCAAUAGCUCUGAAUAUGCUUUGAAGAGGCUAGUUAUGCAUGAUCAACACUUAGUUGAAACUAAAGUGAAGACCAUAAGAUAGAUUUAUAUUGGUACACAACCUCUUCAUAGACAAAACUAUAAUAUGGGUAUUAAUAUCUUAACCUCAAGCAAGUAAGUUAAACAACACUUAUUCUCAAUCAAGAUGCAAGGUCACCAAGACCAAGUGAAAAUUAGUGAGAGCUCACUACUCUCAUAGAGUUUAAUGAAAUGAAAGUUGCAACCUACUACCAAACAUAAUGCUACAAAAGAAAGGUAAAAAUGGUUAUCUUUUUACACCAACUCUAGACUCUAUUUAACUCAAUUGCCUUAGCCCCAAAAGCUAGCAUCUUUUUCAAGUUACAUCAUAUAAAUUAUAUACUAAAAUCUAAGCUAACCAAAGUCAACUCCAACCCUUUCACUAAUUUAUACUGAUUUACGAAAAUGGAAUGGUUUUCAAGAAAAAUGAUUAAUAGAGUAGCCAUGGAAAAGUCUAAGAAAAUUUAUGGAAAAUUUUCUAUUCUAGAGAAAGAAUGACUCUCAAUUUAAAAAUACAAUUCUCAAGGCUCAAUCAACUUCCUCCUAUUAACAAAUUUAUAUAAAAUCACCUCAACACAAAUUCUCAUGACCUAACAAUAUGUCUAAACAUCGAACAUCUUGCCCAUAUUUCCAAUAUUUAACAUUGACAUCUAUAAAAUGCAAAUGAAUACCCAAGACCUGAUCAUAAAGACCAUAUCUUUAGAUAUUCACAUUGCACUAACACUCUUCUUUAAUCACCUUCAAAAUCCAAUGUGAAACCAAAACACUAACAAGAAAAAUGAUAUGGAAAAUCAAAGUCUAAAAAAAAUUCCUCAUUACUCAAAAUAAUAAUGCCUCUUCCAUUGAUACAAAUGCUAGUAAUAUCAAUGCCUCAACUACACAUCUUCUCCGUCUAACAAUCUACUCUAAAUGUUAACAGAUAAACUAACAAGCCAUAACAAGUGAAUGCUAUAACCUUUUUCAACACCUUAAAGGCAACCCCUCAAGAAUCAAUGUACCACUCAAGCUUAGCAUAAUAUACCAUCACUAAGAACCAAGUCAAAGCUACUUCAAUGUUAUUUACUUACAAGUAGACUAGCUUCACCAUCAACCAUUUUAGAGUUGAUUAUCGUCUAACCAAGGCUCACAAUCACAUGAAUAUGAUAUAGAAAUCAUCAUUAAUUGAGCAACACCACGAGUAACACCUAUGUCAUUACUACAAAAGUUUAUAUAAAUAUCAAGUGACAACUUGAUUCAACAAAAUGCAACAUAAAUGCCACAUUCCACUGAUAGAGAUUCACAACAUAGACAAGCUCAUGCCACUUUUUAUAUGACCAAAAUCAAAACUAAUCUAACACCAAACUACUCAAAGAGAAAUAACAAAAUUCUCUAGAAAAGAAUUGAGCAUUGUAGCCCAAGUGUUUCAAUAGUAAGCCUAAACAAAAUAGUUUAGCCCUUUAUCACUAUUCACCCCAACACUUACCACUUGUAAAACCACCAUAACCAAAAUACAUCAAGAUAGAGACUCUCAAUUGCAUAAUAUAAACACGAGCAAUGAAUUAACACUUUGUUGCAAAUCAUCUCUUCAAGAAAAUAAAAUAAUUUACAUGUUUAAUCCUAUCCCUAAGGACUUUUUUUUCAGUCUCAUCUUGACUAAACCUUAAGCUUGUGUUCUCAUUGCAUUCAGUCCAAUCCAAGAAAAGUUUAUGAAAUCCAAGCAUAGCAAUAAUUACUUGAACCAAUAAACUAAUCCCUAUAGUCUUGAUUAAUCCACAAAUAAUCAUACCUAGGAAGGAUCCACUAGUGCUAUGCUAAAUAACUAUGUACCAAUCUAUUUGCCACUCAUAGCAAACCUAGGGGAAAUUUACUUUUACCCACGAUAAAUGGAACUACUCAUGGUAACCCCUAAUAGGGUAAUAAAUCUUGCCAACUCAAAGUGUAACCUUGAGUUGCUAAUGUGCCUCAUUCAUGAGCCCAAGUAUAAACUCAUGCAAAAUGGUACAUUUGAAAUCCAUCCUAUGAGCCCAAGUGAAAGCUUAUAUAAUCUAGUAUGAAAAUGUAACUAAAAUCCAUACCCAAAGAACGAAUGUAAAGUUAUUACUCCCAAAUGUGUACCCACUUGGAUAUCAUUUUCAUCUAUACAUAUGUAACAAGACUAGUUGCCCUAUCUCAUUGAAUAGUACUCACUAAAACUCAACUUCUAAUACCAAAUGUAAUACAUGUGAUUUUUACCCUUUAUCCUAUAGAAAUUUACCAUAGGAUUGUUAAGGCAUGGCCACUUAAGAGAGUGUGAGAGUGAGAGAGAAAAUAUUCUAAUUCCUAGAAUAUUCCUUAUCUUCCUUGGUAUAAAACUCUUGCCCCACUGUAGUGCACUUAUCUUUUUCCCCUUAAGCCAAUUGGAAAAGGGGCAAUUGCUUGAUGAAAAAGCCCUUAAUGGCUAUUUUAUCCCUAUUUUAUCCCCUAAAGUUCCAAGGAUCCACAAUGACAAUAUAUCUAAAUCUCAUCUUAUGAUCACAUACACUACACACACAAAGGCAUUUGUCGAGAGUAUUGAAGCAUUUUUUCAUGUUUGGGCAAGUAUUAGGGGAGUGCCCCUCCUCCCCCCAACAAAUGGUGAAUCUGAUGUGACCACACAUUACUUUCUAUUGCAUCAUUUCUCUUUUUUUCUAUUCAACCACAAACUUUGAUGAGUAAUUUCUUGUUCCUUUUGCAGUAAUUUGGUGAUCUUAUGUGUGUUGGAUAGAUCUUGAGUUCCUCUUUCCAACAAGGUAUGGCACUCAUCAAGUUGUGUAAUUUUUUAAGAGAUACAAUAUUUCUUAGUUCAGUUUGGUGGACAUUUUGGGGUUUCUUUUUUUUUUCCUAGAUUUUAGGUUUAAUUUCUUAAGACAGUUCAUUUGGUUUAUAGAUCUGCCCUAGAUCUACAAGUAGAGGUGAUUUUUAGGGCUAGAUUUGGGCAAAUGUAUAGCAUGCAAAAGGAUUUUCUUCUCUAGCUAGAUAGAGGUAUCUUUGCAAUAAAAAUUCAUGCUUUUUCGAGCUUUGUUUUAGAUGCCUUUUGUUUUUGGAGGUGCUUUUAGUCCUAAACUUUUUUAAAAUACCAACAAUGCCUUGGUAUCAAUUUAAAUUAGUGACAUGCAGAUGUUUCCACAAAAUUGGUGUUCCAGGCUAUGUUUUUUUGGAUCUCGUGGGAUAUUAAGGCAUUUUUAUCACAAAUCCUUGGAAUAGUGUGAGAGAUGGGGCUAAGAUCUUAUCAACGAGCCUACUUAUAAUCAAAAUAGUGAAAGAUCAAGACUAGGGUACUCAUUUUUUUCUUUUAGGCUAAACUUUGGUGAGAGAUUCUUGGGAAAGAAGCAAUCUUUAGGGAGUAGGAGUAGGAGUAAGAGGAGGCACAAAAGCAAGAGGAGGCAUAGGGGUAGGAGUAAGUGUAGGAAUUGGCACUAGAGUAUGCGUAGGAGUAGAAGUAGAAGCAAGAGUAGAGAGGUUAUUGGUUACUAGUUACCAAUUACUAGUUACUGGUUACGGAUUAUUAGUUACCACAAGAAGUUAGCAGUUACUCUACCCCUAAGGGUCCACAGUUAUAUGUGCUUGAGGCCAGUCUACAUCUCUUUCCAUUUUCAACCUUGUUUCUCUUUGUUACAGGCAUUUUGGGCAACUUUAAGCAACUUGUGAAUAAGGUAAAGGGUUCUAGGCCAUUUAUUUUGGCCAAGGGCUCUUCUUUGUGUGUUUUAGAGAUGUUUACAACCUUACUAUUCAUAUCAAUCUAGUUGUCUUGACCAGGCAUUUGCAGUAUUCAAGGUAUUUAAUACUAGUAGAGAUUAGGUGUGUGGCAAAUUGACACCUUAUUACCAUACCUCAAGGCCCUAAGAUACAAAGUAAACUUUUUAGCAUUCAAAGGUAGUUUAGGUACAACACAGCACCUUCUCAAGCCAAAUCUUCUUCAUCUUCAGCAAAUUCCAAUAACUUAGAUUUACAAGCUAUGGUGCAGCCUUCUUUAGCUUGGCCCUAGCUCCAUGUUUUGGCAGGGUGCUCACAAGUCUAUUCCCAACUACAUCACCAGGUUUUGAGUGUAUUGGAAGCAGUGUUAGGAUCAUAGAGUGGUCCAAGAUGAAUAGUAGGGAAUCACAAUAUUUAUAGUAGGUCUGUAUGAGAACUUGCAACGGAAACUGUUUAAGAAGACAUUUGGGUCUUGCCGCAAGGCAUUUUCAUUUGCCACAAAGUUGGAAAGAGAGCUUCUCAUCAAUCUAGGGAUUGCCAGAGUUGAUUUCGACCAAGCCAUCACCCCAUCAAGGUCAUCUUAUGUAGUUAUUCAUUUGUCACCACCAAAGCCAAAUAUUGUUGAACACACACCUCUAGCUAUCAAGAAUUUUGCUAGCAAGAUAUAGAAGUUAAAGGAGAUCAUUCUUCCACAAUAGUCACACCAUGACAAGCUACUCUAGGAACUUAUGGAGUUUAGGAAAGAGUUUGUUGCAGCUCGGGAAUGCCGAUUGAAGUCCCAUUUGUGCACUCAUUGCGAGAUGAAUACACACAACAUAUAACGCUAUUUCAAGCUUCACCUAGAGCUUUGACUUCCACCUUCUCAAUAUGUCUAGCAACAUCCCUUCACUGACAACUCAUUUGGCAUCAAUAGCAAAGGUACACUCUACACUCUUUGGAAGGUUCUUGCACAUCUAGAAUCAGUGCAAUCCACCAUAGUCUCAUAUUAGGGCGUGGCCACUUAGAGGAUGUAAGAGUGAGAGAGAAUAUUCUGAUUCUUGGAAUAUUCUUCAUCUUCCUUAUAUAAAACCAUUGCCCCACAAGGGCAAAAGGGGGGCAUUUUCUCAUGUUUGGCUAAGCAUUGGGGGAGCACCCCUCCUCCCCCCAACAUGAUAACCAGGCAAUGGAACCUAAACCUAACCUACCUUUCUGAAAAUUUAAGGAUUCACUCUUAGAGAAACUUUUCCUAAAUUUUCCCUUUCUAUAUGUGUGUUCCCUUUUCAUAAAUUAUCUUGAUACCCAUAUCCAAUGUCUCUUUGUAGUUGGUUGGGCUCCAAUACAUCACCUUGCCUCGAGCCUAAGUCUGCUGUCGCGCAUGUGACUUCGGGUAUCGAAAGUUACCUGUCGACCAGUCCUUACGGACACUCUUACCUUACUGCCACGAUGGCAGGAGGUCGGUAUUGCUGGACCCUUUAUCAGUCCCUCUUGUGCUAGUGGAGUUAACUGGGCAUUUCAAGUGUACUUAGACCGGACGAGCAUAAAGACGGAAUUCCUACGUGUUAUUAGCUAAGCAUACUUAGCCCGGUAAGGAGUUCCCGUCUCGUUUUGUCUUGCACUUGCUAGUGACAAGAACCCUCGCGUAUUGAGAUUGGUCCCUCAAUAUCGCUACAUGAUAGCUUACCGUGUCUACCAAACACCCUCGCUAUCAUGCCCUUUGUGUUGGUCUUAUUUCGGUCCCAAAUGCUAUUUAUGGAAAGUGUCCAGAUUUGCUCAUUUGGCAUAUCUACGGAAUGUAGAGAUUGUCCCUGAACACAAUGGUGUUCGUCCCGUGUCCAAAUUCGCAAUCUAGGGACAUUCCAUAUUUAGUAAGUUUCGAGCUUGUCCCAAAGACUAACUCCUGAUACUAAGGGAGGCUUGGGGUGAAAGCCCAAAGCGUGUGUUCCUCAAGGGGGGGGGGGGCUGUGGGGGGUUCCAAAUGUAUAGUAGGGAUAGUGGGUAGGUCGGGCAUAGCCGACCAACCUGAGGCAUAGUCUAGCUCCCGCUUGCGUGCCUGUCCUUGUUCUGUGUCCGGCUUGGGUCUAAGCCCAAGUUCCAUUCCAUGCUAGUUGGUGGAGUACCCAUAUCCUCACGUUAGGCCACCGGUAUACCGAAAUAGCGCCAGACUCCGUUUGGCUCCGUUUUGCGUGCUGGUCCUGGCAUUGGGAUGCUGGUUGCUCCAGGACUGUUCCAAGUCGCUCCAAGCUCCUGUCCCUUCGCUCCUUGGGCUUUAUGCUCGGGAGUUGCUCUGUGGUUCGGUUCCUCCUUGGCUCCAUGCUUGGGAGUUUGGCACCGUUCCUUCGUUCAGUGGCCCAAGGCCCUGAACUUCGGGUUCCUAUGGACACGUGGCAUGGACACGUGGCAUGUGACACGUGGCAUCUGUCACGUGGCACAAAGAGGGUUUAGGUUCUGCUUCGUGGUGUUAUCCUAUGGUAAAUCACCAUAGGAUAAAGGGUCAAAACCACGUGCGCUACAUUUGGUAUCAGAGGAUGAGUCUCAGCGAGUACUAUUCAAUGAGAUUGGGCAACUAGUCUCGUUGCAUACGCAGAGAUGAAAACGAUGAUCCGAGUGGGUACACAUUUGGUAUUAGGGUUCACAUUCGUUCCUUGGGUAUGGUUUUGGUUACCUUUUGUACCAUAUUCUGUGAGCUUGAGCUUGGGCUCACAAAAGGGAUUGAGAUGCUCCGUUAGCACGAGUUUACGCUUGGGCUCGUGAGUGAGGCACAUUAGCAACUCGAGGAUACGCUUUGAGUUGGCAGGAUUAAUGUUAGCCUAUCGGUGGUUCCAUGAGUUGUUCCAGUGGUUCUAUGAGUUGUUCUAUAUACCGUGGGUGAAAGCAAACCUCCUUGAGUUUGCUAUGAGUGGCAAAUAGGCUGGUCCGUAGCUGUUUAGCACGGCACUAGUGGAUCCUUCCUAGGCAUGGUUACAAGUGGAUCAGUCAAGACUGUAGGGAUUAGUCUAUUGGUUCAAGUAAUCAUUGCCGUGCUCUCUCAUAAACUUUUCUUGGAUUGGACUGAAGGUAGUGCGAAAGCAAGCUUGAGGUUUAGUCAAAGAUGAGGCCGAAAAGAGAGUCGUCAGGGACGAAGGAUCAAACACGUAAAUCAUUUUCUUUUCUUGAAGAAAUGAUUUGCAAUGAGGUGUUGACUCAUUGCUCGUAUUCACAUCAUGCAAUCAAGAGUCCCUAUUUUGAUGCAUGUUGGAGAUGAUGGUCUUAUAAAUGGUGAGUUAUGGGAUGGAUGGCAGUGAAAUGCUAUACCAUUUUGUUUAGGCUCGCGAUUGGAAGACUUGGGUUGCAAUGCUCAAUUCUUUUCCGAGGAACCUAGCUAUUGCUCCUUGAGUAGCUUGGUGUUGGGUUAAGUUUUGAGUUUGAUCGGAUAGCGAGUGGCAUGAGCUUGUCUGUGUUGUGAACAAAAGUUAAUGGUGUUAGGUGUUGUAAAUCUCUAUUGAUGGGGUGUGGCAUUUAUGUUGCAUUUUGUCAAAUUGAGUUGACACUUGAUAUUCACAUAAACCUUUGAAGUAAUGACAUUGGCAUUGUUCAUGGUGUUGCUCAAUUGAUGAUCAAGUCAUUGUGAUACUUAUAUCAUAUCCAUGUGAUAAUGAGCAAUAUGUUUACGAAGUUGCUUGGUUAGAUGAUGAUCAACCCCAAAGUGGUUGAUGGUGAAGCUAGUCUACUUGCACGAAGUAGCAUUGUAGUAGCUUUGACUGGAUUUUCGAUGGUGGUCCAUUAUGCUAAGCUUAAGUUGGUUCCUUGACUCCUUGAGGAUUUGCCCAUAAGGUGUUGGAAAAGGGUUGUAGCAUUCAUUUGCUAUGGCUUGUUGGUUUAUCUGUUAGCAUUUGGAGUAGAUUAUUGGAUAGAAAAAGUGUGUAGUUAAAGCAUUGAUAUCGCUAGCACUUGUGUUAGUGGAAGUGGCAUUGUUGUUUCGAGUGAUGAGGAAUUUUCCUUAGAGCUUGAUUUACCAUGUCAUUUUUCUUGUUAGUGUUUUAGCUUCACAUUGGAUUUUGAAGGUGGUUGAAGAAGAGUGUUAAUGCAAUGUGGAUAUUUGAAGAUGUGGUCUUCGUGAUCAAGCCUUGGAUAUUCCAUUUGCACUUUUACGGAUAUCGGUGUUGGAUGUUGAAAAAAUGGGCAGAAAGAUGUUCGAGGCUUAAGCAUACUAUAGGUCAUGAGAAUUUGUGUUGAGGUGAACCUAUGUGAAGUUGUUAGUAGAAGGAAGUUGGUUGAGUUUUGAAGAUUUGCAUUCCUAGAUUGAGAGUUAUUCUUUCUCUAGGAUUGGAAGAUUUUCCACAAAUUUUCUUAGACUUUUCCAAUGGCUGAUCUGUUAGUCACUUUGUCCGAAAACCAUUCCGUUUUCAUAAGCCAAUACAAACUAGUGAAGGGGUUGGAGUUGACUUCGGUUAGCUUAGACCUUAGUAUGUAGUUUGUAUGAUGCGGCCCGAAAAGGAUGCUACCUUUUGGGGCUAAGGCAAUUGAGUUGGAUAGAGUCUGGAAUUAGUGUAGAAAAGUGGCCGUUGCACUUUUUAGAAAGGUGACCCUUGUGCCUUUCUUUUGUAGCGUUAUGCUUGGUGGCAGGUUGCACUUUGCAUUUCGUUAGACUCUAUGAGAGUAGUGAGCUCUCACUGAUCUUGACUUGGUCUUGGUGGCCCUGUGCCUUGGCUGAGGAUGGUGAUGUUCAACUUAGUUGUUUGAGUUUGAGAUGUUGGUACCCGUACUAUAGCUUUGUCUAUGAGGAGGUUGUGUACCGAUAUGAAUCCAUCUCUUGGUCUUCACUUUAGUUUCGACUGAGUGUUGAUCAUGCAAAGCUAGCCUCUUCAAGGUAUGCUCAGAGCUAGUGGCUAAAUGCAUUGGUGAGCUUAUCAUGGUUGAGUUGGAUUUGAGUGGUCAUUUGGUUUGUGCUUGCCUAUGAACUUUUAUCUCAUACCUGGGGUAUUACGUUCAUGUUGGACAAGUAUAUGACUCGAUGACGUGAGUUUAGUGUUUGGGUCUCGUGAAAGCAAGUUGAAAAAGUGAUGGUUAGUUGCUUUGCGACUAAUGGUUGCUUGUAGACUUCAUCGAGGACUGUUAGACACUUGCUUUGCUUGAUGAAGAUUUAGCAGUGAUGGGUUUACUUUACCGGAUGGUGUUGCGGAGGAUCGUGUCAUUUGACUUACAUGGGUUUUCCAUGUUGGCAUGUCGACUCUACCUCUGUUGAUAUCAUUUGGUUGCGUUUAGUUCAUGGUAUUGGAUUUCAUUGAGUCUUGGACGUGGUGAUUCACUCCUUGAGGAAGUGUUAUCUGUAACUGAGUUUUGCUAAAGGAUUGGUCUCGGAUACUAACUAAAGUAUCUUCGACCUUGGUUAGCUUGGUUGCUAGAGAGCUUUGAGUGGUGAUACACUCAUGCUUUCUUCUAGCUUUGUUCUAGUGUUGAUGGCAUUGAAGUGAUGCCUUGUCGUUGACAUUGUUGAUGUUAAGAUUUUAGUGAAAUGAGAUGUCUCUCCGCAAGAUUGAUGUCAAGUUUCAUUAGUUUUGAUGAAGAUAGUGUUGAUAAUUUGGCUAUAGCUUUGUGUUAUUAGCAUUCGUGCAUUUGCUAGUUAGCAACUGUGUUGAUGUUCAAAUGAACUGAGUGGCAAGUUUGAGUUAGUUAUGUUCUAGACGAAAUUAUUUAGUAGGGGUUAAGCUUUGGCUUUUCCUUGAAAAAUGAUUCAGUUGUGGACUAUGCUAACUCUACAAGCGGAAGAGUUAGUGAUUGAUAUUGGAAGGUUUGAAUCUUUAUUGGAUUUGAGUUAGAAUAUAUCGAACAUUAAUGAUUCUUCUUGUGCUUGUUAUGAAGUGAGUUACGUCUUGUUAUAGAUAGAUUCAUGGAGGAUCAUUUGGUGAUCACUUGUUAAGCAUAGUUUCGUUAUGCUUAGCUUUUGGAUUGAUGCAGACAUGCUCUUCAUUAGCUUUGCAUUAUGAAGUUAGCUUAUGGAUGUGUUGAGGAGGAUAUUGUGGGUUGUACCAUAAUUUCUUCUUUAGCAUUGAAGUUAGUUCAUGCGAGACUCGUGAUCAUUGUUAGGCAAAAACUUAGCUAUAGACUUCUUCAAGCUUUUGGUUCUUUGAGUUUAUGCUCAUUGUUCCAUUUGUUAGGAGUUGUUGGGGAAGGCAUUUUAGCUCAUUAGCUUCGAUGUUGACGUUAGUAUUUGCAUCUGGCAAUCAUUGGUGAUGAUUGACUAUCAUCUAGGAUAGUUAAUUAUCCUUAUCAAAAAGUUUUGUUUGAUUGUUGUUGAUAUAGAAUGAUUCGCUAUUCUUCGGGGUAGUGGAUUCUUUCUUAGACGAUGAUUAUGCAUCUCUUUAUUGAUGGGAUGAUUGAUGAUCUUUCAUGAUUGUUAGUUGUUCUCUUUGAUGGCUUGUGGCUUUUCACAAUAUCACAUGUUCUUUGUGAUUUGCUCUGGAUUGGUCUCUUGGGUUUGAGACAUUAGUAAGAUGUUGCUGACACUUGCUUAAGCAACUUCAGUUCCUUAGUAUUGUUGACCGGGAUCUAUUUAGAUUGGCUUUUGCGAUAAUUAGCAUGAACGAGUGUUUGUUGGUUUUACCAUAUUCAUUCUGUUCUAUUGAUCAUUGCUUGAGUUUGUUCUGAUAGAUUGGAAUGUUAUUUCCUCCGGGGGAUACAUUCGCGAGCAUUUUGCUUGCUUGUCGAUGAUACUUGGUGUUCUUUGAGUUAUCUUUCGUAAGUUGUUUAGCAUACUAUCUGCCAUCUUCAGUAGUUAAGUUUUGUCAUUGAGUUUUCUCGAUGAUACGCUUGCUAUUGAGUUUUGUUAGAUGGUGAUUCCUAUGUUUACCACUUAUGAUGAUCUUGGUGGUUCCUAUCCUGUACUAUAUUACUAGUUUAUCGGAUGAUAACUUGCUUAGAAUACUUUUGUGUUCUACUCUAAGAUAUAAUCACUGAUAAUUAAGCUUCUAAGAUAUCAUUGUCUCUGACUUUGAUAUUGUCCAUCUAUUGAUCUUUGAGUUUGGGCCAGUAUAGGCAGACUGGCUUCGGCACUUCGUGUGCAUGUUGAAAUCUCUAGUCAUGGGGUAGCUACUGUCGACUGGUCACAUAACCCGCCUCUUUGUCGAUGUUCCUUAUUCCGUUAAAAGGGCAUGACCGUGUAAACAACUCUAACUGCCUGUUUACAAUAGUCUAUCUAAACCUUACCGACGGGUUUGGUUUCUUUGCUCAGGAGGGUUGGGGCCUCUGGCUUCUCUCUCUAUGUCUCUGCGGGCAGGGCAUAUCACACUUUUGUAAGCUGGGUGACUCCCAGAGCAACAAGGGUGGCUGACUCCGUUGGUCAUUUCUUUGUCGGCGACGGCCGGAAGGUGUCUGAGCUGGUAGCGCAUCCGCGUUAGACAAAGAGGUUACCCCUAACUCAUUUAAGUUGGUGCAUUUCUCACAUAGUGUGAGUACCGUGAACUUUUUCUGGAGUUGUUUCCUUGGCGGUAUUCUAGACUCGAGUAUGCAUCGACGAGGACGUCGAUCUUCCCAAGGGGGGGAGAGUGUUGCGCAUGUGACUUCGGGUAUCGAAAGUUACCUGUCGACCAGUCCUUACAGACACUCUUACCUUACUGCCACGAUGGCAGGAGGUCGGUAUUGCUGGACCCUUUAUCAGUCCCUCUUGUGCUAGUGGAGUUAACUGGGCAUUUCAAGUGUACUUAGACCGGACGAGCAUAAGGACGGAAUUCCUACGUGUUAUUAGCUAAGCAUACUUAGCCCGGUAAGGAGUUCCCGUCUCGUUUUGUCUUGCACUUGCUAGUGACAAGAACCCUCGCGUAUUGAGAUUGGUCCCUCAAUAUUGCUACAUGAUAGCUUACCGUGUCUGCCAAACACCCUCGCUAUCAUGCCCUUUGUGUUGGUCUCAUUUCGGUCCCAAAUGCUAUUUAUGGAAAGUGUCCAGAUUUGCUCAUUUGGCAUAUCUACGGAAUGUAGAGAUUGUCCUGAACACAAUGGUGUUCGUCCCGUGCCCAAAUUCGCAAUCUAGGGACAUUCCAUAUUUAGUAAGUUUCGAGCUUGUCCCAGAGACUAACUCCUGAUACUAAGGGAGGCUUGGGGUGAAAGCCCAAAGCGUGUGUUCCUCAAGGGGGGGGGGGGCUGUGGGGGGUUCCAAAUGUAUAGUAGGGAUAGUGGGUAGGUCGGGCAUAGCCGACCAACCUGAGGCAUAGUCUAGCUCCCGCUUGCGUGCCUGUCCUUGUUCUGCGUCCGGCUUGGGUCUAAGCCCAAGUUCCAUUCCAUGCUAGUUGGUGGAGUACCCAUAUCCUCACGUUAGGCCACCGGUAUACCGAAAUAGCGCCAGACUCCGUUUGGCUCCGUUUUGCGUGCUGGUCCUGGCAUUGGGAUGCUGGUUGCUCCAGGACUGUUCCAAGUCGCUCCAAGCUCCUGUCCCUUCGCUCCUUGGGCUUUAUGCUCGGGAGUUGCUCCGUGGUUCGGUUCCUCCUUGGCUCCAUGCUUGGGAGUUUGGCACCGUUCCUUCGUUCAGUGGCCCAAGGCCCUGAACUUCGGGUUCCUAUGGACACGUGGCAUGGACACGUGGCAUGGACACGUGGCAUGUGACACGUGGCAUCUGUCACGUGGCACAAAGAGGGUUUAGGUUCCGCUUCGUGGUGUUAUCCUAUGGUAAAUCACCAUAGGAUAAAGGGUCAAAACCACGUGCGCUACAUCUACAAUCUUGAGAUAAAGGGGUGAAAUACAUCCACGUCACCUAUAUCCAUAAUAAGGAUCCUUUUGGGUCUAAACACAUUACAUACUCUUGAAUAGUUUUUGUUUGCUUCAACCUAUUUAGCUCAUCUUUAAAUACACAAUAGCAUUUAGGGUUAUAUAAGUCCUUAUUUUCAUCAUUUCCCAAGUCACCACUAGAAAUUCAUUGGCCUUUAUUAUUCUCUACCAAAACUUAGUGUUAUCUAUUAAGUAUGGUUUUGCAUAUGGGACUUUUUCCAAGUUGGGUAACUGCAACACUCAAAAAUAAUCCUCCAUAUCAUAAAACUAAUCCUCCACUAUUUUAUUAUUAUUCACUCCCUUGAAGACUGAUAGAAGAUUUGGUUUGUACUUGGGAAUUGCUUGUGGGACAAACUCCACUUUGGUUUGCUCAACUUUUUUUAGUUCUACCUUAGUGCUCACUAAAGGGUUUACACCUUCUAUAUUAUUUGCAUCUACAGGUUUAUGCCUUUUUCUUUGUUUUUCAUCACACUUCAACUUCUCGAAGAGGGUCUCUAAUAGAGCAUUGGUUUGUGUUAUUUGUCUUUUUAGAGCAUCCAACUAUGCCUUGGACAACUAAACUUUGCUACCAUACUUCUAUUUAAAAGUCUCCCUAUUAAAGUUUUCCUCAUGUAAGGAUUCUUUAUCCUUAACUUUUUAUUCAACCAGAGGUUCCACCUCUAGAGGAGGUUCUGUCUCUACUUUAGUGCACUUACACCUUGCCCUUGCUGUCUCGUAAUGAUCCACCUUUAUUGAGAAAGAGGAUUUGAUACUAAAUUGUAAGCCAUAAAUUUUCCUUUACUAAUUUCCUAGUUUACCUUGUUUAUCCAACCACCUUUGCCUUGGCUUUAACUAAGCUCCCUUGCCAAAGUUCUUGCAUAUUGUACCAACUUUAGCUUAGUCCAUUUACUUAUUACAUAAGUACAAAAGUGUUAACCAACUCUUUAUAUAUUCCUAAACUCUCUCCCAAUCACCCUUCCUUAGUUAGACUGGAUUUAAGGUUUUGCUACAUUCUCUAUACACAAUCAACCAAACACAUUAAUCUUCUAAAUUCCUAACAUCCUAUAAUACACAAGACUUGUUCAUGGGACCUUUUAAAUCCCAAACCUUAAAUGCAUCUCUUAGUUUAGGACACUUAAGAGGAACACCAUAGCUUAACACCCUAGUAUAAAUACCUCAACUCUCCACCUCCAUCCUAAAGAGAAAACUUAAGCCCUAAUGAAUAAUGAGCCUCAUAAUAUUCAAGUGAGGCAUCACUCCACUUGAGUUUAGAGCACCAUAGUCAAUUUUCCUUUCGAGAGUAGAAGUUGCUCUUCUUUGAGAAGCCUCUUUAGCACUUCUCAAGCCCAUGUUCACUCCCACCCAAGGCUAUUAAUCCCUAAUCCUAACCCCAACUCAAUUUGGAAACACCACUAAAGAAUUCUUUUAAGACUAAGUCCUUAACUUCAUUAUCUCUACUAUACUUUUAAAGCCCCUUACAACCUACCCCUCCCUAAGGGAUGAUCACUUUGAGUUUUCACCCCAUGACUUAUAUUAAUAUUUAGACUAGUUUUGGACUUGAUUUUAAUUCAAUAAACUCUUUAUUGUUCCAAUUGUGAUUUUGGGGAUCCUUUAGCCUAUGACACCUUGGGGAGUUGGUUUUUACAAUAAUGAGCAGCUUGGUAGCAAUCAUAGAGAUAUAAACAACAAUAAGGGUAUAUAUUGAACAUAAUUAGAUCAAUGUAAAAGGUUGGAUAAAGAAAAUAUUAUUUAUAGAAUUAGUGGUGUUAUGGCAUGUUGUGAUAAAAAUCUCACCAAUAGGAAAGUGUAUUCAAGAAUAAUUUAUUAUAUAAAAAAUUUAUAUAGAUUUAUAUAUAUAAGAAGUUCUCAACAUAUGGUGUGAUUCUCCUAGCUAAAAAAUAGAGUUAAACUUAAAACUUCUCAAGUCUAUAGAAUUUAGACUUUUUGGGAAGUUAAUACUACUCAAAUCCAUGGAUGGUUAACCCCAAGUAUUUUAAAACCUUUAACUGAUUAAAAAACAAGGUGCACUCUCAUGACUCUCCAUGUGGAUUAAUCAUAUGGCAUAAAGCCACUCUCAACAACAAACACGAUGGAUAGAUGCCUAUAAUGAGGCUUCAUGGCUAAUAUUUUAUAUCACCUUCAAAAAAUUUUAAGUUCAAAAGAUUAAAACACUCAACAAGGUAAUGACAAUUCUAGAGCUCUCAUUUGAAGGGAGAUGUCAUUUUCUUGCCAUAGUGAAACACAAGUUCCUUGGCUUUUUUGGCAUUUGGAACAUCUUAGUUUAUAAAGAGUUGAGUGGUUUAGGGUGAAUAAUUUAUUUGGCAUAUGCUCAACAUUAAUGCUAUGCCUUAUUGAUAGCAACUUCCAUACUCUCCAAACUACUAAUUGGUGAAGUAGUGUACAAGACUAUUUUUUGUGAUGGAGGGAUUUCUUAACUUUUAAGUGAAGCAAGGUAGACCAUUUCUUCUAUCAUUGUUGAUGAAACAUAUGUAUGGUUCAACAGGAUAAAGCUUCAUCUAUAUUGGCAAAUCUACAAUUGGUUAAGGAGUUCUCAAGUGAUGAUAAUAUUUUGAUGUUUGUAUAUAGGACUAAAUAACAAAGCAAUAUUGGCAGAGUUUUGGGAGAUGGGCACUCUCAAUGGUGAUAGUCUUUGGUAAAAUGAAAUUAGAUAUACUAUCCAAAAAUCCCCAUAAAAUAUAAGCUAAUAUAAUUUGUUACUAACUGUAGCUCAUUUUUAUUAGUAUAUUUUAUAGUCUGAAGGAUUAUUAUAGUAAAUGAUUAUAAUUUCUACUGGCAUCUAACAUAGCAACCUCAACUAAAUGUAAAUAACAAAAAUGAACAAUUUAAGAUAUAGUCUAUUGGGGUUCAAAUAUAAAAGUGAAUAAAAAUGCCUUUUUUUUAAUUGGUUAAUUGGGAUACAUAAGAUUAAACAUCCUUGGGUUUGAGUAGCAUUGGGAUAUGUAACAUCAUGGGAAGUCCAAAAUCAAGAGAUUACACUAUUAAAACUUAAAUAAAAAAUAAAGAUAUAGUAAAUAUCCCAUUCAUUUAUAUGACUAUCUAAUGAUGUUUAUUUUCCUCCCAAACAUCACCACACAUUUAGGUCAUUUUUAUGAGUGUAAAAUUUGUGAUUUAUUUGUAGUUGUGGUUCAUUUCUUGCAACUUAGAGGUGUAUAUCAAUUACAGCGCACCCUAAUUUAAGCACGGUGCUUCAAUCAAUUUUGCCCCUCAUUUCUCACAGCUUGUUUGUAGUGCAGCACCCUAAUCGAAAUUGAUUAGAGUGCAAUGGCAAGUGUGAUUGAUUAAAGUGAUCAAUUAGAUCACAGAGGCAAAACAUUUUUUGAGUGCUUGAAGUGUUGAGUCUAGUGGAUAUUUGGCAAGCAAUUAGAUUUUAUUAGAGUGGCAUUCUUAAUCACAUGCUAAAGUUUUUAGCAUUGCAAUAAUUUAUUGCGUUUGAGCUCAUUAUGAAAGCAUUUUUCAUUACCCUCAUCAAGGAGACUGAAAACAAGAUUAGUUAGUGGCAUCCAAAAUGCAAUCAAAAUCUAGCUCCUAUAUUAGAAAAUGUUACACCUAGAAGCCCUAAAUCCAAACCUUGUUAACAUGUCAAAAAAUUUGACAUGGAAAUAAAAUUUAUAUAAUGUAUAAAUUUAUAUUGACCUGGACUUUGCAAUGCAUACAAGGUGGGCACUAAUGCAUGUCCAUAUAUAAUAAAAAAUUGUGCUUAAAAUAUCAUUUUAUGAAUCACAAUUAUGUGUUACAACAAUUUAUGCACAUAUGUUUUUUUUGUGUUAGUCUAUAAUAAUCUAAUAGAAGCCAAAUAUUCAUUUUUUAUCUCUUAAAGGAGAAGAUGGAUAUUCAUAUAUUACCCUACCUAUAUAAUAUGCUAAUUAUAGUACAAUAGUAUACAGAUGAUCAAAUUUGGUCCAUCUAAGCAAAUUUAAUAUACCUAUUCUAUAUCUCAAGCACUUAUAAUAUAAUUAAUUGGGUUUUUCCCUUAAAAUAGUAAUACUAUUAUAUAAUAUUUUCUCAAAACCAUCUCUAAUUACUAAGAUAAUUAAGAAAUGGUUAGGAAAAUAUAAUUAGUAAAAAAAUUGAAAAUUUUAAAGAACAACAUCUAUUAUAUUAAAUCUAAAACUCAUCUAAAAAUUUAUUUAAAUGUAAACAAUUAAAGAAAAUAAUAAAGGACAAUAAGAGUUCAAAUAUAGAAGGAAAGUGUUUAUGAACAAAAGUCUCACAUAUAUCACAUGUUUUCACCUUUUGUUAGAUGUACUAGAGUAAUGCGCAAAAAACUCAAAAUGACACUUUCAAAGUUGAAUCAGAGCCUUGGUCUAUGAAGAUAGAGAUGUGCCCUGAUCCAAGCGCUCCAGGCCUUGUGAAAGGCACUGGACGACUAGGAACCUAGAUGUAGACUUGAACAAGUAUUAGCCACUGUUCCUUCAAAUCUGCCUCCAAAUCCACCACCCAACCCCCUCCCAUCCCAAAUCCGCCUGUGGCUACAACAGAUACCAUUACAGUGGACGCAAAUCCACCAAAAUUUUAUGGGAAGAACUGGUGCUUCUGGAAGUCAGAAUUUGAAUUCUAUAUGGACAAACGAAGUCUUUGGAACAUCAUCACAGGUACUGAGAAUCUUCCAACCACUGCCGUAAUGGAUGAAACUGCCAAGUAUCAGAAGGGUCAGAGAGCUUUGGGCAAAUUUCAUGCAGCGCUUGAGGGGCAAGAAUUCCAUUGCAUUGGACCAUGUGAGAGUGCAAAGGAAAUGUGGGAGGCCAUGAAGCAAACUUACCAAAUCCCUUCAACAUCCCAUCAAAUCUUUCCACUCAAGCAUCUCCAUACACAAGGGACGACCUCAAGGAUCAUCUUGCUGCUGUGAGAACAAUCCUGGAUGAUCUUAAGGACGUGGGAGCAAACAUAGAGGAUGAAGAAGAAGCAGAGCUGGUCCUCAUCACACUUCCUCCAUCCUUUGAUCCUCUCAUAUGUAGCCUCCUACCACUGGAACUCCUCUGGCGUGAUCAGUAGCCUCCAACAUCAGGAUCAAAGGCCGUUGCAUUCUACACUUCCUCUCAGAAAAGAAUCAGUGAACAAAGGGAAACAAGGUGCUUCUUCAUCAUUGCAAUAAGAAAGGAAAUGACAAAGCACAAUGUUGGGUGAAAAAUCCCUCCCUCCAAGUCUGCAAGGAACAAUGCAAAGAAAAAUGUGGUACACGCCUUCACCUGAUCACGGGCUAUGAUACUGAUACUGUCUUCUACCUAGAUUCUGCUGCUAGAUACCAUAUGUUCAACAGUGAUAAGUACUUUGAAAUAUAUGUUCCUAGUAUGUCAUUGUUGGCAAUGCCUAAUAGGUUGUAGUGAGAGGAAUUGGAACCAUCAAGUUCACUUUACCACAUGGAAUAGUCGUUAUAUUCCUAGUUUAUGUGCUAACGUGUUUUCCAUGGGACAAUUGGCGGAGGAUAUCACACCUCGGCAAUUCCAGCUGAUCUCGACCACAGCCCAGCCUGGACGGGGUGAUCUCUACCGCCUUAGCAUGGCCAGAUCUCGCUAGAUGGAGCUUGGGCCUACACGCCAAAAGUCAAUCGCUAGAGCUUUGGCACGCACGCCUGGGGCAUCCUAGUGCUGAUAGAAUCAAACAGCUAGCUCGAGAGCAGAUUGUUGAAGGCCUAGAUCUGGGCAUAAGAGCCAUUCUUCCAUUUUGGCCGGGCUUGUCAGCUANNNNNNNNNNNNNNNNNNNNNNNNNNNNNNNNNNNNNNNNNNNNNNNNNNNNNNNNNNNNNNNNNNNNNNNNNNNNNNNNNNNNNNNNNNNNNNNNNNNNUUCCAUUGAUGACUACAUUCGUCAGUCUGAUAUAUAUUCUUAAAUAAAUUGAUUUUUAUUUUUUCUGAAUUAUAAUCUCAUCUUUCCUACCUGAUCUACCCUAAUGGCUCGCAAAUCCCAAUCAUUACAUUACUUCCAGACACAAACUGGGAAAGCGCUCAACUGAUUGAGAAGUGAUGGUGGAGGCCAAUUCACUUCCAAUGCUUUCAAGCAGCCAUGUGAGCAAGGUGGGAUUGUGCGAGAACUCACAAUGUGAGACAGUCCACAACAAAACGGUGUAAGAAUCGCACGCUAGUGGAGAGUGCUUGAGCAAUGCUACUUCUAGAAGCUACUGGUUUUAUGCUGUCUUGAUGGCGAACUACCUCCAGAAUCAGCUCCCCACCUCUGCCCUCACUGGCAUGACUCCUGCAGAAGCUUGGAGUGGCAAGGCAUUGGCCCCCAAGAGCCAGCAAGCUGUGUUUAUGGGCUACAGCCUCGAUCAUAAAGCCUAUCGCCCCUGGAAUCCAAUCACGAAGCAAGGUUUUCAACGAGAAUUCAUUGUUUCAAGGUUCUUCAAGACCUACCUUGACCGACUUUGAAGCGGAAUAAUACCAGUUGACUGCCAGCACAAUCACUGUGCCGCUCCAAACAAUCCUUGCGCAUCAACCCAUGCCCACUUCUUCUCCAAGACCAUCACUGCCGCCGCGUCCUCCAAAUCCUCCACACAGAUCGACCCGCACAAGGUGGCCUCCUGAGUGUCUCAUCGAGACGAUGGUUUCUUCCCAUGCAGCUGGGACUCCUCAGAAGCCAUGGCCUCAAAGGAAGCUUCUCACUGACGUGCAGCAAUGGAAGCCAAGAAUCACAACAAAAGAACAAGACACACGUUCUUGUUCCUACUCUGCCUUCCAGGUUAUCAGGAGCAUGAGGGUGUAUGCUCUGAAGCUUCGGUUCGAUAUAAAGCGUGAUUAGUGGAAAAAGGAUGCUUGCAAGUUCCUGAACUUGACUACAAUGACACCUUCGCUCCAGUGGUUAAGCAUUCUACUCUUCAUUGCUUGAUUAAUUUCGCUUCGGUGGGAGGCUUUGAUGUGGAACAUAUGGAUGUAACCACGGUAUUUCUUUAUAGUGAGCUUGACGAAGAAAUCUAUAUGGCACAGCCAGAAGGAUUUCUAGCCACUGGAAAAGAGGAUCAUCUCUGGCUUCUGAAGAAAGCUGUCUAUGGCUUGAAACAAGCACCCAGAUCUUGGUACACACAAUUUUAUACUAAGUAUGGGCUUUUUCCAUAGUGAGGCAGACCCGAAUCUUUACAUUCGGGUGGACUGUGAAUCGUUCAUGAUUAUUGCUCUUUAUGUUGAUGACACUCUUGUCAUCAGUUACUGUUUCUCCAGGUUAAGCAAGACCUUUGCAGCCAAUUCGAGAUGAAAACUCUUGGCUUGACUUCCUACUUUCUUGGAACUCUUGGCAUGGAACUCAACGCACUAUCUAUCUUCACCAAGCCAAGUGUAUAGAAGAGAUGCUGGCCAGGUUUUCUAUGACCUAAUCCAAUGGAACCAUUCCAGAGCAAUGUCUCCUGAGACAGAGGACAACAAGAGAGCAUCAUCAAUGAACAAGAGACUAGAUUAGGGAAAAACAACUUGGCUUCUUACACUAUGUACUUGAUAACAUCUUGUGACAUUUGGUACUAUUGCAGUCAUUGCAACAACUGACAUUUAAGACAUCUGUGUCAAGAGCAUAAAUUUUGCUAGUUGCUGUCAAGUGUGAGGCUCUAGAGAACAAAUGACUAUGGUUAAAAUGAUAGAGAAGAAAAAAAAACUAAUGGACCUAAGGUUUGGCCAAUAGGCCAUGCAUGCAUCAUGGAGUGCAUUGUUAUAGUGGAUGAGGAGAAGGAAAGCCAUAAGACAGACUGCAAGAGAGAUAUGGAAUCAUGGUUCAAAGUGUAAUAUGCUAGUGGAGUGGGAAAAUCAUUUUAUGAAGAAAAACAAACAAAAAAGUGAGGCACCCACCAUAGAGAGAGUAAACUUACUAUUGCUGUACACUUCCCUAUUGUAGACAUUUGGCUGCCACUUCGAUGGCUUGAAAUGGAGGGUGUUGCAGAUGCACUCAUAGGAUCUAAAGAUCCUUUGUUUGACAUAUAGUGCGAGACUCUCUAUGGAGACUUGAACACUGAUACAAUGUGGAGGAGGAUAUGAUGAAUUGGUGCUUUGGCUUUAGUAUGAGCAGAUGAAGCUCUAGCUUAAGCAGACAAGUGUAGCUUAUAUUGGGGUGGUGUGGGCACUUUUAAUGAGAGGGCAAGGUUCCUCAUUUGCUCCAGCACCAUUAGCAGAACACAAAGCUCCAUUUACUUGUAAGCCAUGGGAAGAACCACAAGUAACAGGUUCAANNNNNNNNNNNNNNNNNNNNNNNNNNNNNNNNNNNNNNNNNNNNNNNNNNNNNNNNNNNNNNNNNNNNNNNNNNNNNNNNNNNNNNNNNNNNNNNNNNNNCAUAACGUUAUAAGUUUGAAUCAAGAAAUUGGGAACACUUGUUUAAAUUAACUUAAUUUUUGCAAAGCUAUAAAGUGGUAAUGUAGCAUGAAUAUAUGUUUAUAGGUCAAGCCUCUAGACUUCAGCCAUUAUACAUUCAGUUAAGAGAUCUAAAUGGAGUAGAUAGAGAUUCUAACCAUUCAUUCAAUUAAAAGAUCUAAAUAGAGUAAAUAUUGUUUAUUAAGAUUCUAACCAUGCUUUUCCAUUAAAAAUGCUACAUCAAGGUUUUAAUUUAGAGAUGUCAAUGUCCUCAUUGACCAUAAUCACAUGCACUACACUCAAUUUCUACAUUCCAAAAGAUCGAGAAAAUUAAAAGUAAUGCCUCCUUGCAUGGUUUUUAUGGUGGCCAACUUUACCAAGAUAUGAAUACCAUUAUAUUGUAUUGUAUGUACUCAUGAAUGCCUAAUACAUACAAUUUCAAUUUUAUAUCUUAUUUAAGGUUAUAUUAUAUUUUAAGUAGCUAUUAAUUAAUAGGAAUCAAACUUAUACCAUUUUCUUUAAUACCAUAUAUAAUGCACCCGAUCAAGCCAACUAGAAAAGGGGCAAUUACUUAAUAAAAAAGCUUUUAAUGGCUAUUUUAUUCUCAUAUAUUCCCCAAGGUUCUAAAAGAUCCACGGUGAUAAUAUAUCUAAUCUCAUCCCAUGGUCACAUGCAUUACAAAAAUACAGUCAAAAGUAUGCCAUGUAAUAGUGGCUGAAGUGGAAUCUCAUCAAGUGUAACACAUUUGAACCAAAAGCUAAAACUCAAAAAAGUUAAGAAUAGGAAUGAAACUCCCAAAAAAAUGCUUGAAGAAUGAGCACAAAAUGAUUGUUGAUAAAUAGGUCUUUAGAAAAAAGGACAUCAAAAGGAUUAACCCCAUAAUAAAUAUCAUAACACCUAAAAGUGUUGAGACUAAGUUUGAGAUUGAGUAUAAGAUUGAGUUUGAGACCAAGUCUAAGAUUGAGUUUGAAAUCAAGUUUGAGAUUGAGUUCAAGAAAUUGGGUUUAAGCCUAAUCCUAAGACUAAGACUAAAACCAAGUUCGCAUUUGAGUCCAAGUUUAAGUCCAAGAGUGAAAGCCCAAAGCAAUCAUCUUUAAGGGAUUUAGUAAGUCUAUGCAAAAUAAUUAGGGCCAGGGAAGGUUACAUUUAUGUGGUGGGUGAUAAUAUAACCAUUAAAGAGUCCAAGGUUAAAGUGAAUAUAAAUGAACAAGUUAAAUGAUUUAGUGAAAUGUUUAAGAAUCACCUCUAGAGUUAUACAAGAUAUCCAAAUAAAUAGUGUCACCCACACUUGGAUUAGGAACAUUGACCAUUCGAUCUCCCAAAGGGGCUCAUUCAUGAGUGCACUCUUAUUUAUGUCUUUUUAUAUUGAACCUUUAUAGAUUAUCUCUUAAAUUGUUCCUUUUAAUUACUUAUACUAAAAUGUGGUUAUGGGAUGAUCACUUAUAGACAAAUGGUCUAGUCUUGGAGAGACGGGACCGUGGCAUAAGUGGUUUUGGACUACCACAAAGAUAACAAAAAUAGACAUAUCUUUAUCGUAAUGGGCAAAUAUGUCAUUAGUAUCUUUGGGUGUUUGAUAUAGAACUCAAACAUGUGGAGCACUUGAACCAAAUGCGGAGGCAAUAUGGUUUAAAGGCCACCUUUGAGGCUAUGGUAAAUACUUUAAGUUGGGAUAAGGAGUUAUGAAGGUUGUGAAUGAUACUCCUUUAAGUGGUUAAAUGUGUAGUUAAGUGACUGAAAUAGAAUAGAAAAUUUAGUUGUUUACACAUAUCUUUUAAUAUUGUUAAUUCAUAUAAUAAAAGAAUAUUUGUGUUGCCAAGGUUAUAUAAGUAACAAUUUACUUAUUUGAGCAUAGCUUUGUCAACUCUAAAGAUCAUAAUACUAAGUAUAUCCUCAAUAUGCUUCCUUAAUAGAGUUGGCAAACUUUAAUGACAAAACAGCUUAUCCUUAUUUGAGGUCUUGCUCCAAUGGUUAAAAUAUGUUUGUACAUACAUAGGAUGGCUUGAAAUAAUCUUUAUCCACAUCUAAAUUUACAAGCUCCACAUGUAUAAGAAUACACCUUAUGUAGAUUUCAUAUCUGAAGGAGGUGCUUGUAAAAACAAAUUACCCACUCAUACAAUUCACACCAUAAAUGCUUGUUGUGCUAGAGACACUAAAGGUCAUAUUAGAAAACAAUAGAUAAACAUGAGGUUAAUACUUGAUUACAUGUUAAUGUUCUAUAUAUAAAGCUUCUUGACACAACACCCUAACAAUACUUCAUAUCAUUCUUUACGAAAUUGUGUUCUAGAGUGUUGUUGUUCUUUAUUCAUUUUGGCUACCUAAAACAGAAAAAAAAAUUGGCAUAUAAGUGUUGAAAAUGGCAUGGGAAUCUUUUGUAGUAGAUAGCUCAUAAGUAAUAAUGAAAUAAAUUAUAUGAUAAAUUAUGGUAUGAACAUAAAAACCAUAUGUUAUAAGUUUGUAAUAUAUUGCAAAACCACAAAUAUAAUUAUUGAAGAUUGGUAUAAAAGAUUUUCAAAUAUUCAUGGCCUAGUUCUUAAGGUGUUUCAUUGGUGUAAAUCCAUUAUUGAAUUCAUGAUAGAUGCAUGAUUUACAAGAAGAGCAAGAUUUGAUAAUGCCCCAAUUUAUGCCAACACUAUUCAUAGGAAUGUUAGUCUAAAUAUAUUAAAGUAACUCUUGUGUAGAUAUCCUAUUGUACACUUGGAUCAACCACUUAUAUAUAUUUGUAUAAUGUUGGCUAUAAAAUUCAAAGGUAAGCUGCAAGAUAACCCAUGGUCUUGGUUUCUAAAAUCUUCAUGUGCAUCCAAAAUGUGAAUAUCACUACACUAGUAAAUCCACUUGACCAUAAAUAAUUGUUACAAACCUACAAGAUCCACAAAAUUGGAAAAUGAUUAAAAUAUACAAUUAAAGCACCAAAUCACCUAUGAUUCAUCACUAUUCUUAUCUUUAAUCUCACAAAAGAGUCAAGAAAAACUUAAUACUGUGUUCAUGUUGCUUGACAUAUCUAGAUAUUCAAAAAGUUAUUUGAAAUUAAGGGAAUAUAUAAUGCUUUGAAUUUGGACUUAAACUCUAAACCUAUUGCACUACAAAAUGAAGGUCUAAUAAACUCUUAUAAGCAUUAGCUCCCUAUAUCUAGCUGUUACAUGCAAAAUAGUGUUAAAUAGUGUCUAGUAUAAUUUGGUAUACUAGUAGCCUAAUGUAAGGAGGUGGGUACCCCACCAAUUAGAGUAAUAUAAGGCUUGGGCUGAGGAUAGUCCAAAAUUGAAUUGAAGCUCAACUCAGCUCAAAUUGCAAAACAAAGAGCAAUAUAGCUUAGCGGGAGCCAAAUUAAUGAUUUAAGUGCUUAGUCAUGCUUUUGACUACUACUCCUAGUAUAUGUUUGGAACCCCUCCCCCCCUCAAUUAAUAUGAAAGCAUGCCUUGCACCCUAAUCCCAAGAGUGUUAGUCUCUUAUUAAAUAUGAAAUAAUGGUAGAUUGUAAAUUAGGACAUGAUAACAAUGCUAUGGUGUACAAGACACUCUUUACAUUCCGUGAAUAUGCCUCAUUGGAAAAUAUAAAUGCUUACUAUAAAUAGUAUAUAGACCAAAAUGCAUGGGGAUUGAUAAUGAUUAAGCUAUUAUGUAGCAAUAUUAAGGGAUUAAGCUCAAUAUUGUGGGGGUUCUUAACACUAGCAAUGACAAAUUUCUGAACUAAUUUGGGUGAAAACCACAAAAAGAACUAGUUACUAACCUCUUAUCAUAAAGGGUUGCCCUAAUAAGCCCAAGUUAAACUAUUGGUUGAAGAUAUCUCUAAAUGAAUUUCAUGUGGGAUUUAUAAACUAUCUUUAGUUCAUGCAUGGCCAAUUGCUAAAAGGUAUUGAAUCAUGUCAUUCAUACUUAUAUUAUGGGUAUCAAAAUUCAACAAAUGUAUAUUUACCAUGUGGCAUUUUUGUGUUGUCCAUAUCUGUAUAGAUUUACACGAUAUACAUGUAUAUAUACAGAGAGAGUGUGUUCUAAUUAAUAUCCCUUAAAAUUUUAUAUUAUUUAGCUAUAGCUAUAGAUUAUUUUUAAUAUAAAAAAUUAUAGCUAGUGAAAAUUCAUUAAGCUGUUUAAAUAAAUUUAUAUAAUUAUUUCAAUUUUACCAGUAUAAAUUUUUUAUAAAUAUUAGUUUAUAUUAAUUAAAAUAAUAAUAAAUUAAAGAAAUAAUAUGAAAGUUACUUUUACUAUAUUAAUUUUAUUGAUCUGCUUUUCUGAAGGUAUUGAUAUUCAAUAUGAAAUUGGUAUUACUAAUGCUCUAAGUGCACAAGGAGUAGUUACUAUUUUAACUGAUAUUACAACAAGAAUUAGCAAUAUACCAGAUGAUAUGAUUCCCCUAGGACAAAGUGCACAUGGACAUGUCUUAAUUUCAAAUCCAAAUACUUAUGUUGGAUUUGGUUUUUUUGUUUUAGACACAGUUCAACAAAUUUGUUAUAUAAAUAAUGAAGGUCAUGAAAAUCCAGGGUCUAUUAUAAGAAACUCAUUAAUGCUCUAUUUCGUUAAAGUGGGAUUUAUUCAGUAAAAUGGGACUAGGUACAAAUUUUCAAGUAUUUGAAAAUGACGUGAAAUUAUAUGUUUUUUGUCCAGGGGUUAGACAUAUCUGGGGCAUAGUGACUAGCGUGGUGACUUUAUGUCCAGACUGAGUCCAUCUGGUUGUAUAAUAAAUCUCAUUGUCAAGGUGAACAAGCUGAAUCUGAAGUUAAAGAAGAGCGAUGGCAUGCACGCACACACUAUUUGUUUGUUCAUUGAGCGUGUGGUGAGCUUUCCAAGAUGAACGUCAUUCCUAUUAGCCAGACAUAUAACUUCAUGGUGAGAACAUUUAGAUAUUAUUCAAUGUUAUCUUUUUCUAACGAAUCUAAUUGUGAAGGUGUAGCAAGAGGCAUUGCUAGUCUGGAGAAGUCAUUUAACUCAUUUGACCCUUAGUGUAUUUUCAUGAAACUAAAUAACAUUCAUAUUAUUAAGGAAUUUCUCUAGUACCUUUUUUUUACGACAUAGAGGCUUGCAUUUCUUUCAAAGGUGAUUUAGUAAAAGGCCUGAGGGCACAUGCCAUUCUAUUUCUCAGACCGGUAUUAAGAUAUACUAGUGCAAAGGGAAAAAGGUAUUUGGUGAUCAAGUAAAUGGCACGAAGGCACACGCCAUUAUAAGCCUAAGCGCUAGUGGACACCUCCUUUUUGGUACUCUCAGCGGUACUAUCAUCCUUCUCCGGGUCAGUUGUUUUGCUUUGGAUUGUUGUCUCUGACGUUACUGGGGCGUUCUCGAUAGUUGUUAAUGUUGCCGUUUGUUCAGAAAAAUGAUCACUUGGAGUAUAGUACGGGGAGUUUGGAAGACUUAUAUAUUCUACAUUUUCACCUAUCUCCUUCUCCGUCUCCUUUUCUGCCUCACUUACAGAUUUUGUGCUUGCCAUGAGAACGCUCUUCACCCUAAAAUAUGGAGUUCGUUGUGUUAUAAAAGGAAACCAACACACACGCUGCAAGGGAAUGAUUGUACAUAAAGCACGUAAGCCCACAAUAUGGGUUUAUGUGCCAUUAAUAUGGGCCACACGCCAUAUUAUUAGAUUUAUGCACGUGUGAUUAGUAAAUGCAUAUGUCACAUCAUCUUUGUUUUACCUCACACACUAUAUCAGGCCUAAUGAACCAUAUCACAUGUGCACACAUGCUAUAUAUAUGGAGAAGUAUUAUGCAAGGAUAGAAAAAUUCAAUGCAUGAUUGUGGAGAGCAAUGGCAUGAAGCCACAUGCUAAAUAACAUUUUAGAGAAAGAAUUAAAAUAAAAACAUGCAAACAGUACUGAGUGGACCAAGACUUAGAAGUGCACAAUUGAAUGAGGUAUUUCUAAUAAAUAUUUCACUCACCUCAUAUAGGAAUGGCUACCACUCUCAAAUGGCGUAUCGCCUCAUGCCAUCACCUCGCAAUUUGUUAUAACAAUCCGAUGAAUUCAUAUUCGGCUUGUUCACCUUAAACUUUAAGUAAGAUUUUCUAGAACAACUAAGAAUUUAUACUUGUUAUUUGUAUCAUCUCACCUAGGAAUGGCAUAAGGCCACAUGCCAUCACGCCUCCUCUGAUUCAGAUUCAGAUUGUUCACCUUAAAAUAAAAUACAUUAGAAACUUAGUAAAGGAAUAUUAAUGAAUUUCACCUUGAACCCGGGUUAUGAAUGCUCUUGCUGCAUCUCUUGCAUGGUCUGGCAAGGUGAUGGUGGCACUCUGCUUCCGCAUCCAACCAUGCACAACAUUAUCCACCGAUAUGCUCAUGCUGGGAUCCCUUGGAUUCAGCACCCAUCUCUUUUCUAGGCAAUCCUUCGUAUAUCCGGAACUUGGCUUGAACCACUCCACAGUUACAUUGAAGGAGUUAGUUUCUGCGUCCUCCUCUGCAUCAGUGAUGCAGCGCCCCACCCAUAUCAUUUGUUUUUUAUUACUGGGUCUGACAAGCACGACCAUUCCUUUGCAGACCUGUACUGGAUUGAAUGUUGAAUCCGGCUUCUUGUUCCUCGGCCCACAAUAGUGAUCCUCAACAUCGUUAUCUGUCACUGCAUUUCCAGAGGACAUUGUUCCGCUACUAUCUGGUGCUCUGGGUUCUGGCCAAAAGGACUCUUCCAAUUCUUCAUAUACAACCGGCCCAUUUUGGAUAGCAGAUAUAAUCUUCUCCCAGUAUUCGAGCAAAGGCUUGCACCUCUGAAAAUAGGAUUCUCCACCAAACACCAACCCCCUCUUCCAGAAGGCAAUAUGCUGUCUAAUCCCGGCCACUAUACUUUCUUGGUCUUUGAGUCCAUCCGGGUGCAUCAGCCGUGGGGAACCCUGAGGAAUCAUAGGUUCCCCAGUUAUGGGAUCUCUCUUGAAGAGUUCAAUGCCGUCCACUGGCAGCCACACUGUGUCCCAUUCUCUCAUCUUGUACCUCAUCACUGGAGCACCGUCACACAUGCUGAAAUGAAACUGAAGAGGCUUGGAGUGGCCAAUCAGCGUUUCAGAUCCGUCCCUGAUGUAGCCUCUUACAAACCCCUUAAAGUCUGGAACCUCUGUCAGAAGUGCAGCUUCAACAGUGCCUUUGAUGCAAUUUUGGAAUUCAUCGUAGAGUUGUGGGAGGGUGAGGACAUUGGAUCGCCGGAGGGACUCUGCCAGGUGACUGAACAUGGCAUCAACGUCUUCAUGAGUGUGCCCAACCAUGAGAAAGCCAAGUGUAACCGUUUCAAAUAUGCCUUUGGCAACAAGCAUCGCCAAGUACGCGAAGACGUACAUGUUUUUGUUCUCACUGCCAGCAUUGUCUGUUUGGAGCAGAAGAUGGGGUGGAAGGCCACAUCGGCCGCAAGAACUUCCUUGAGAUUCUGCUUCGUUUGGAUGAGGCUGUGCAUUCACCGGGCGACCAGCCUCGUCGGAAUGGCAUGAGGCCUCACAUGAUAACCCUACAAUCUGACGGCCAACAUAUUCACUGGGAUGGCAUGGGGCCCCACGCGAUAUUGCAAGCCUUUGCUCCUCCUCCAGCUGAACCCUGUAUGGGGUUCGAUCGACAAGGGCCUUAUGCAAGGGUUGGCCGUUCAGCUCAGUCUGCGCACUUUGCAAAGACCUUAAGUGUUUUGCUAGGGACGCAAUCAUCAUGUUUGCACCCCCGCCACCCCAUAGAGGUACAAAGAAGUUCCCAUAGUUCUGGGCACCAUGCCCAUGAGCGAUUAUGCCAAACAGAGACACAGGCAGCUGCAUGGAUGAAGAGAUUGCCAUGGGGGCAGGAUUGAGUUGAGGUAAGCACGUCUUUUUCUGGUCCAUUUUGUCGUGGAUGAUGCAGAGGUAAGAGUCAGGUCUCUCCAUGGAGAGAAUCUUGUUAUGAUAAUAUGCAGUCCUGCAGCUUCUCUGCUCGAUGUUGUGGUUGAGCCGCCUUCUAACCAACGUCUCUCGCUCUUGAGCGCUGCAAGAAUUCUUCGACAAAGCCAUUUUGAUAGCAGUGCACUCGUCACACUUUGAAAAGCUGGAGUACUUUCCUAUACUCACAUCCCUGAACCUGUUGCUCCACAAUUUACUAAAUCUAGAUUGGCUCAACUUCCUGUAGCCAUUACUCUGGAGUUCCCGAUUCACAUCUUCCAAUAUGGCCCCCUUGGUAUACAUGGAAGGGAGAACUCGUUGGGUGUCUCGUGUUCCAUCUUCCAAGAGGCGGGUUUUAUGUGGUUGCUGCUCGCUACAUGUCUUGACAAACCUCUUGAAGAUUGCCUCUCCAUAUACAACAUGACCCCUGGUUUUGUGCGUACCGUCGUUCCCAUGGACUGCCUGUUGAACCUUUUGUUCCUCGAACUCAGUUUUGAUUCUGUAGAAUGUGGUUCGAGGGACUCCAUAAAUGAUUCUCCAUGCCUUCAUGCAGACCAAACCCCUCUGGAAGACCAUGCCCCCCACCUGAUGUUCUGAAGCAUCAACAGAUGACCGUAAUGCCUCAUACACAAAAUUGCGAGCUGCCUUCCAGGACAAUGUCUUGUAUCUUGCUCUCUCCUCUUCAAUAGCAUCCCAAUCAGCAUGUUGACAGCACCUCCUCUUGCAACAAGCAAUUGUCGAGACCAUUCGAACCUCCAUCGCCAUUUUCUGCCUUUUCGGUUCGUUGCUCAGAUCCCUUUGGCUGCGCUUUAGGAAGGUGUACUUUCUUUUCCCAUGAAGAGAUGUUCUGUCAUCAGUUGUAGUGGUGUUUGAUUGUGAAUCCUUCACAUUCUCAAACACUAAGUGCCUCAAUUUCCACCGCACAAUGCUUCCAAUAGUCAGACUGUUUUCUUCUGUGUCAACAACCUCUAAAAUCGCAACUCCAAUAUCAUCCCAGCCCAAUUCUUGAUUAGCAAUCGCAUCUCUUGGAUCGACAACUGUGGCUAAGCCCUCAGCUACCACCUCCCCCUCGGGGUUGUUUAGAAACACCUUUGCCUGAAUCCAUGUAGCACGGUUCUUAGGAUCCACGGAGGGAACAUGCGUCGCACUUGUGCUGUCCCCAACAUCUGCUUUCUUCUGAAGAUUUUUCAAGGCAACAACAACAUUUACCCCGACGACCAUCUCUCCUCGUUCAAUAGCGACCACAUUCCCAUCGAAAACAGUCUCUACUGAUACAGCAGCAUUGCCUUCCCCAAGCCUUUGACAGUGUAUAACAAAGUUCUGAUCCAUAGACACAAGGGUCCCUUUUGCAACUCUCUUCCCACCAUUCAAAAUGUAAACCUUUUCCCCAACCCUGAAGGCCAUUUUGAAAGUGCAGAAAAGAAGUUAAGACCAUACAAAAAAUGAUUAGAGAAUGGCCUAAAUCAUAACAUACCAAACAACCUCAAUAGCAUGAGGCCACAUGCCAUUAUUCAAACAUGCUAUUGACACCCACGUGAAAUUUCGCAUUCACAAAAUUGGCAUGAGGCCUCAUGCCAUUAGUGGUACCACUAAUGGCAUGAGGCCUCACGCUAUCUUUGGCCCCUGCUAGCCUAUUGCUAUAUUCCUUUUGCCUUGCUGCAACUGUAUAUAUUUUUGUGUGCGUGACUAGUCACCCAUACAAAAAUAUAUACAGUUGCAGCAAGGCAAAAGGAAUAUGGCAAUAGGCUAGCAGGGGCCAAAGAUGGCAUGAGGCCUCAUGCCAUCUUGAUAUACACACAGCUGCAGGCAAGUAAAAACAUACAUGACAAUACAUUAGCCAUGAAAUUGCAAGGGCCCAAGAUGGCAUGUGGCCUCAUGCCAUUUCUAAAUGUGGUCCUAAGCCAUUCCAUGGUGAAUAUACCAGGAAGCACAAGUGCCGAAUAUCAAGAGGAAGCGGUAGCCACACCAAAGACAGUGCCGCUCGCAACACCGCAACUACUCGUAGCGCCGCUCGCAACACCGCAACUGCUCGUAGUGCCGCUCGCACAAACUGCCACUCGCAUAAAUUGCCGCUCGCAAUGGCGCUCGCAAUGCCGCAACCGCUCGUAGACGCAUAAACCACAGCUCACAACGCCGCUUACACAAGCAGCGCUCACUGCGCUCAGCGGAACCAAGAACACGGCGCACAAAAAUGAUAGACCUAGGAAUGAGUUCGAGAAUUCAAAAAUAACACACGCUUGAACGUCACAUCAAAUCCUCUGACAAACCAGAUCUUAUGACUCCUCUGACAAAUUUCAAACUGAGUAGCUUCUAGACUUUGCUGUCGGAGGUUGAACUUUGUCACAUCAUGUCCUUGCCUCGAUCCAGCUGUGCCAUGUCAAUGAUUCGAACUUUGCCAUGCCAUGUCAGCGAUCCGCGCCAAGAUUAUUCGCUGUGUAAAGGAAUAAUUAUGCUGUGUGUGUACAUCCAUUUAUGGCAAUAUAAGGCCACACGCCAUUCAAAGAAUAAUGCUAGUCGAGCAUUUUUUGGUGCAUUUUUGGGUUCAAAAUUGCAUGAGCCCACACGUUACCUGUACCAAAAAUAGAAACAGCUUUAUUUACUUGGGAAUUUAAGUGGUUGAGGCAUUUUUAAACUUACAAACACAUGCCCUACUUACAUUCCUUUGGUUGCUUAAAAUUCAAAAAUAUUAUAAACCUUUCUUUUUGCAUUUUCAAUGUUUUCAAUUAUGGUUUUUGAUUUUCGCAGGACCAGCCUAGUAAUCUAUUUGCAUCCUGUCAUGUUUAUAGCUAGCUUUCGUUUGUCCCCUUCGCUAGCCUGAGAUACAUCUGCUCGGCAUCUGCCUCUUACAGCAUUUGCCCAAAAAGGGCAUCUUUCUUCACGCAGCAUUUGCCACAUGUUUAGGGUUUAGGGUUUAGGGUUUAGCAAUUCAGUAACUUGAUAAACAUGCAAAUACAGAACUUGAUGCAAAAUCCUAUGAUAUGUCACAAUGCCCCUAGGACCAUAAACACAUUUCAAUAGAGAGGGUCCUUUCAUUUCAUAACUCCUUACGUAGAUCUUGGUCAAACCAGAGUUAGUGAAGUUAGUUUCUUAUGAUCCCGCAUCUGAUUGUGAUGUCCCUUUGCAGUGUCGAUGGAAAGGUCAAUGCACACCAAACUGUAAAAUCUUGGAGCAAAAUAACGGUCGGAUCUAUGGCAAAUGCCCCUGAAACAUUGUAAGGCUCGUGUGGUCUCAUGUGGUGUCCGAUCGAAAUGCUUCUUUGCAGGGUCAUUAAGAAAGACAUUGUAUACCAUUCUGUAAAAUCUAGUUGCGAUUUAACGGUUGGAUCUCCAGAAAACUCAAAAAAAUCUCGCGCAUGUCAGAAUAUCCUAGGAAUAUACUCCUAUGUGCCCUUGAAAAUGGCAUGCGGCCCCACGCCAUUCAAGAGAUAACGCCAGAUGACGCCGAGAAUUUUUUGGUGCAUUUUUUGGGUUCAAAAUUGCAUGAGCCCACACGCUAUAAAGUUUAUCUUUGCCAAAUAGAGAAAAGUUUAUCUGUGUCAUGUGAGGUAGUUACAGUCCUUUGUGCUCGGCAUCUGCCUCUUGCAGCAUUUGCACUGAAAGGGAAUUUUUCUCCAUUCAGCAUUUGGCCCUGAAAAUGGCAUGCGCCCACACGCCAUUCAAGGAAUAACGCCACAGGAUGCCUGGAUUUUUGGGUUUAAAAUGUUUAGGGUUUUUUGGGUUUUUUCAAAAUAUUUUGGGUCCAACGUUUUUUGGGUUUCUUUGGUUCAAAAUUGCAUGAGCCCACACGUUAUAAUAUUGAUUUGAGAGAAAAAUAGAAACAGAUAGAAUUUCUUUAUUUAGUUGAACAUCUGCCAUUUUUGGAAAUACAAGAUGCUUUGGAAUAUCCAAUCAUGCAUGGUAUAAAUAUAGCGAGGGUAUUAAAUGAUAUCCUAAUCAUGAUCUUUCUUUUGGAUUUCGCGUGCAUGCAGUCCGAGGAAUGAUGACGUUGCGGAUUUCUUUUGGAUUUUGCGUGCUUGCAUGCGCGCGGCAAUCCAGAAAUUAAUGGUGGCGCCCAAGUCCGAGGAAUGAUGACGUGGCGGGAUUACCAACCGUUGUGACAUUUCGCGCGUGUGAGGUUAGGUUUUGCAUUUUGUUUCAUCCUCGCGCUCGCGCUCGCAUCACACUCGUGCUCGCAUCACGCUCCCACUCGCGAUCACGCUCACAUUCGCGCUCAUCUACCUUCUCUACAGGUUUCUCGUGUGCAUCGGCGUCCACUCGCGCUUGCAUCACACUCGCGCUCGCAUCGCGCUCGUGUGCAUCGGCGUCCACUUCAAGACACACCCAGUUUGUAACUUCGCCGCCAACUCCGCCGCCCACUCCGCCACCCACACGCAGCCCACUUGGCGUCCCGGGAGAUUUCAGCGCCACUCUCCAACUGUUAAGUGGCAGAGUAGCCUUACUGCUACGAUCCGCUGCACACACAGUGCACAUUCGCCAGCGAGUCCGGCCUCGAUUGUCACGGCCUCCAUUCGGCUUCAAAUGGUAAGUCUUUUAGGCCAAGUAGAAAAUGGCAUGAGGCCACAUGCCAUUCAGUAGCAACAUUGGCAUGCACCGAUUGGGCUCUCGAGUGCAGUCCGGUUACAGAUGGCGUGUAGCCUCACACCAUCUUAGGAUGCAGCCUCAAGACAUCUGAUGCAGUGGUGAAUGGCGUGUGGCCUCACGUUAUUUCCAGCUGCUAGCUUUUCAUCUGUCAACUCUAAUUGUUGUGCAUUUCUGAACAGGCGAGGAAUUGCGUUCUUCUUCCAGCCACUGUCAAUGUGGAUGCAGAGAAGGGGGAGGAGCUCACCAGUUGGACUUUCGGGAUGGAAGGCGAGGAUCUGAGGCUGUACAACACAGAUGGUGGGAGAAAAGAAUGCAUGGGGAUCCUCAUCCAAGUGACAGACACUCCAUGCAGUUCCAUGCAAGAAUAUGGACUAGCACUUGUGGUAGAGACAACGUUCGCCUUCAAGAUCCACCUUGCACAUCCUAGCGGCUUCCUGGAGGGGGGCAGCGGCUAUGAGGAAUUCCUAGAGGGAGCUAGGGAGAGGUUGUCCAGGAGGCCCAUAAUUUCAAAGACGCUGCGGGUCUAUGAAGAUCACAUGGAAUCCACGGACCUCACCUACGGUGAUGUUCAAAAACUAUAUUCCAACAUUGAGCCAGUGAGAGUGCCUCCAGUUCGCGAAGCGAAGGGGAAGGGGGUCGAUCUGGAAACUACCCCAAAGCAGAAAAGGGUGGUCAAGCUCAAGCCGACGUCCGACUCUCUUGCUCCAAAAAAGAAGCUACUCGGUGAUGCCAUUGCCUCGGGUUCGAACACUACACCCACCAAAAAGAAGAGCCGCAAAGAGCAGAAAGAGCAAGAAGAAGCAGCAAAAAUCGUCGCAGAUAAUAGUACUUGUUACUAUUCCAACAAAGUAUAUACAAUCGACGUGAGCCGUAUCGACAUCCAAAGCAAAUACAACCACAAGCUAGUAUCUGAUGAGUGGGUGGAGAAACUGAAGCAGAAGAUGCUGGCAAGUCCAGUAACACCCGACAUCGCAGACGUGAUCCCCUACUACCGAACAAUGAAGGGCGAGACGAGGUUUCCAGACUUGAUCAAUAGGAAGGUGUUGGACGAUCAGAACAUUCGGUUCUAUGCUGUCUCCGGGCAGCAUUCUAGCUUGGCGAUGCAAGAGAUAGUUGUGGAUAUUAUGGUGGGCAAGGAGGUGAAGAAAGUCUUCAAGACAAGAGUUGUCCGCCUGAUAAAAGGCAACUCACCCCUCCGAUCUAUCAUAUCCAUCUCCCACGCGCAGAAUGUUAAGCAAGAAACGUGCUACAAAUCGGGUCUGCACGAGACAUUGGCACGAACAUGGAAGCUCUGGGUUCAACUGAAGAAGCCACAAAAACCAGGACAAGGACGUGCACUAGCAACUAGCACCUGGCAGGUAAGCCUCGUUGCAUGUGGCAUAGCAUGUGGCCUCACGCCAUUUCCAUUGCAGGAAUUCUUGAGUCUUCUCUCGAAAACACUGGGGGUCAAUGACACACUUAGCAUCCAUAACAUUCUACUCGCGACAAAAGUUGUUUUUGACAAAUGGGUAGAUGUGCUGAGGAGGUACCAUGACGGGGAGUUACUAAACUCAAUGGGUGUGGAGGACGGCCGGAAGCCCAAUGAUUUGAAGCUCAACGCCUUGCAUUUCUCGCGGUCUCUAGACGAUGACGACCUUCUGACAGUGGCUAAUGCUCUUUUACGUGGUGAGGUAGUCUUCAACAAGACCAAAAUGACUCUCGGCUAUAUUGUGACAUACGAGGACUUGUGCAUGACUCUGAGAGCUCGUGUGCUAUUGAAGGAUUGGAUCUUCGAGCAAGUGGCCGUGGAGAGGGUGAGCAUCGACACCACGCAAGAGAUGAUGGAAGAGCUGGAGUUGUCAAAUGAAGACAUCGACGACUACGUGAAGGGGGCCCCCAAGUUCAUCAAUCUGCUGCGGGAUGCCACGAAAAGUAAAGCUGAGAAGUUGGAUCAGUAUCCAAAUUUCAUUAAGAGGGAUGUCAACCGCCGGCUUCAGAAACAGCUCGACCCCAUAGCAGAGGCCUAUCGAGAACCUUACUGGGUAUACGUGAAUUCGGAUGAGGAUCAAAGGUGGAGGAGCAUCGUUUCCCGCGGAGAUGAGCAGGUCAAGAACAUCUUUUGUGUGAUGGACUUCACAAACAAGGAGAUCACUCAUGCAGACGAAGUCAGCUCCAUCAUUGACUUAAUGGUGGGACUUGCGGAGGUGGAAUCUUCAGUCCACUAUAUGAUCUACGACUCCGAAUCCUAUCACAAGUUUUGGAAGGCCUUGAACGAGGUGAAGGCUCGGUUGAAAGGCAAGGAGAUGCAAAAGAUCCAUGGGAUAAUGGCUAAGAAGAAGAUACCGACGAAUGUCCGCAUCUUCACACUCGCCCUUGUUAUUGGUCAUGCAGCAGAGUGGGACUGGAGUGACUUCCCAUCUUCGUUCGACAAUGCCAAUCGAAUUGAUCUGAGGGAGGUCAAUUUACCCGUGCCUGAGGAACUGAGGACGGCUAUGGAGCUUUUGAAUCCAGAGAAAGCUCCAGGUGCAGCAUGGGAAAUGCUCAGCUGGGUCUUCAACGCAAUAACACAUGCCUCUGAGAGCUCGUGCGCUAUUGAAGGAUUGGAUCUUCGAGCAAGUGGCCGUGGAGAGGGUGAGCAUCGACACCACGCAAGAGAUGAUGGAAGAGGUGGAGUUGUCAAAUGAAGACAUCGACGACUACGUGAAGGGGGCCCUCAAGUUCAUCGAUCUGCUGCGGGAUGCCACGAAAAGUAAAGCUGAGAAGUUGGAUCAGUAUCCAAAUUUCAUUAAGAGGGAUGUCGACCGCCGGCUUCAGAAACAGCUCGACCCCGUAGCAGAGGCCUAUCGAGAACCUUACCGGGUAUACGUGAAUUCGGAUGAAGAUCAAAAGUGGAGGAGCAUCGUUUCCCGCGGAGAUGAGCAGGUCAAGAACAUCUUUUGUGUGAUGGACUUCACAAACGAGGAGAUCACUCAUGCAGACGAAGUCAGCUCCGUCAUUGACUUAAUGGUGGGACUUGCGGAGGUGGAAUCUUCAGUCCACUAUAUGAUCUACGACUCCGAAUCCUAUCACAAGUUCUGGAAGGCCUUGAACGAGGUGAAGGCUCGGUUGAAAGGCAAGGAGAUGCAGGAGAUCCAUAGGAUAAUGGCUAAGAAGAAGAUACCAACGAAUGUCCGCAUCUUCACACUCGCCCUUGUUAUUGGUCAUGCAGCAGAGUGGGACUGGAGUGACUUCCCAGCUUUGUUCGACAAGGCCGAUCAAAUUGAUCUGAGGGAGGUCAAUUUACCCAUGCCUGAGGAACUGAAGACGGCUAUGGAGCUUUCGAAUCCAGAGAAAGCAACAAGUGCAGCAUGGGAAAUGCUCAGUUGGGUCUUCAACGCAAUAGCGGGUGGGUCACCUGCUUCCGACUCCAAGGGCAAAUGCGUUGUCGAGUACAACUGCGGCGGACUAUUCUUUCGAGCCGCACUACUCAAGGGUGUCCCGUGUGUUGCAGUGACAAACUCCAUUGAAGAGGUGACUUCAAUGAAGUAUAUAAUUACAGUUGCCAAAGAAAAACAGUAUCUUCUCUGCGAACCUGGUGAGUACACACUUUAAGUUUAAAUGUUAUCUCACAAGCUCUGUAUGCAGGAGCGUGGCCACCCCCAGAUGCUGAAACGGCGUUAACAGCUACUGUUGGGCCGAGCUCACAACCUGCACAAGGUAAGGUCACGUGAGGCCUCAUGCCAUUUUGAUUAUAGAUCGUUGUGAAUAUUCAGACACGAGGACUAAAAAGCGCACUAGUGGCGCGUCGAAGAAGGACAAACAGACAAGCAAUAGGAAAAAAGGAGGUACAAAUUAUAUUUGCAAUGGCAUGUGGUUUCAUGCCAUUCCUUGCAGGAGACACUUCUUCAAAGGCAAAACAGGCAAGCACCAGCCAAGCUCAAACUGACAGUGGUCAUAAAAAGCGAAAGCACGUUGGACAGUCGUCGGGAUCAGAGGCAUUUGAUUUGAAAAGGAAGAAGGGCAACGAAAAGAUGAUAGUAAUGCCUCGCGGUCACCACCUCCUGACUCAGAUUCCUAUGGCGGACUCCCCUUCCCCAAUCUCAAUGGAGAGGUACAAUGGAUGAGGGAUGCUUUUCAAGUCAGGGCCACGUUUUUCUCAUCUCGUCGUCUUCGAAGGGUGCAAGAACGUGCAGAAACCAUGUUAAGACAGUCGGGUGAGGAUACGGUCCUAGGUCACGCACUAAAACAGGCUAUGAAUGUCUUGUAUUUUGAGAUGGAGACUCGGCCAGAUGAUUUUCCCAAGAUGGUCCUGGAAGAACAAGCCAUCCAGCCCGAGCAGCCUAUGGAAGAAAUGCAGGAGGGGGAUGAGGAGCCAGAGAAAGAUAAUGAGCAGGAAGAGCAGAAGGAGGAAGAGGAGGACAAAGAAGAGGAGGACGAAGAAGAGGAGGACGAAGAGGACUUGGAUGGUCCUCACAAUGGUGACGAUCACAAUAACGACGACGACGAUGAUGACGACGAUGGCCAGCCUAAGGUGGCCAAAGAGCAGCGGAGGAAGGUCAUACAAGACAAACCAUCAGGUAAAUAAUAGUACAUCCAUUCCUAACCUUUUACCAUUUCUAACAUUGUUCAUGUAGGUUGCAAAGCAAAUGGUAAGUAGAGAUUAUUCAGUUGAAUUAAGAUACAAACUCUAGCCUUUAGUGUCGAGGAAGGAUAGUGCCAAGCAAGGGUCGAAACGUAUGUCCAAUCCUUCAGAAUCAGCAGUGCGCCCAAGUGAUAUCGGUCCUAGUUCCUCAAUAGCAGUUGAUGGUAAAUACAGUAUAGUCGAUUCAAUGUGCUAAUGAGUUUGUUUUUAGUAGCCAAUAGGGAGGAUACCAUCUCAAUCGAAGGGAGAUAUUUGGACAUGCAUAUGGAUCCGCCAAUGGACUCUACUUGCCUGCAAGAGUCAUCAAAGCUGGUGGAGGCUACUAUCCAUAUCAACGCCAAGCAAGCUGACCAUGCUCCACUUGAUGCUGCCCAUACCACUGAGUCAAUCUUGUCCACGUAUCCAACUGACGGUGACCAGGCGCCAUUGGACCCGCAUGAGGCCGCCCCAGCCGCCGAGCCGGUCAUAUCCUCAUUUCCAACGGACUCAACGUGUGCCCAAUCGUCUGACUACGCGCCAUUGGAACCUCCCUACACCGCCCCUGCUACCUGUUCGGUCAUGUCCACUUUGCCAACGGAGGCACCAGCUGAAAUGGCGUGUGAUCACACGCCAUCGGAACCACCCCAUGCCACUGUUGAGCCAGUUGUACCAGAGUCUACAGCUGAAAUGGCAUGUGCCCACACGCCAUCAGAUGCAAUUGACCCCACAUUGCAGAGGAGAGUAUUUCCGCCCUUCACGUUUCCUCGACCAAAACCCUCUCAACGACCAUCGCGAGCACCAUUCGCUAAUAUUGUAGAUGGUAAAAUUGACUUGUACCAUUUUUUAUGCUGACGCAUUUCAUUUCAGAGUCACGGCGAAGGUACUGUAUCGUUUUUGAUCUGAACGGUGUCCUUUUCUCCCAUGAGCGUGGCUCGUCCUCGAAUGUCACUGCACCCUCCAAAGCCUGCGGUCGCAAGUUGGUCAAAAGAGACAAAUUCACAUUAAUCACACGGGAGAAACUGCGGGAUCUAAUAAUGACCAUGCGACACUUAAAACAGAGGGCCGGGUUCAAUUUGCAAUUGGGAGUUUGGACAUCCAUGAUGCGCCACAAUGCAUUAACGUUGCUACAGAUGAUGCACGAUCAGACGCGAGUAAUAUUACCAUUUGACUUUCUCCUAAUGCAGGAGGAUUGCUUGACUAUGGUCCAUGUGAGGGGUAGCAAGCCCAUCUUCGUCAAGCCAGAGGCUGUAGUGAUGAACUGGACUACUAGGUCAAGUGAAAUCCUCAUCAUCGAUAACUCGCCGAUUAAAACUGCAGCGAACACGCACACAUAUGCAGUGCACCCCAUCUCUUGCAGUAUGGAAACUAGGGAGAAGAAACCGUAUGUUCUGGGGGACCUUGCAGAACGGUUUGGAACGAUGGUGAUAGAGAACCGGCCAGUCCAGGAGGUGGCUGCAGAAAUCAACCAAAUGGCAGAUAGAACGGUAUAUCAAAAGCCAUUUGAUCGGACAGACACCAGUCAUCAUUUAUGGCAUGUAUAUUGUCUAGCCAAGCACUAUCCGCAUCUCCAUAAUCUGCUCAACCGGAUGGGUUCUUCGACCACUGAACAUGAGCGUGGACGUAUUAGAGAAGAGAUGGCAUUACUAUUGGGUUUAAAUCCUGAUAGUGUGGAGAGUGAUGAAAUUCCAAAAUUAUUGUAUAGGCGUUGGAGGCAAAAAAUAACAGUCUGAGAUGGCAUGUAUUUAUUUAAAAAUGUAACUUAUUAUGGCAUGGGGUUCCAUGCCAUUGUAUUAAUAUUAAAAGACAAUUCUUUGAGAGGAUUUGCAUUAUACUAGAAGUGUUACAGCAUGUUAUUGGAAGUCUACGAAGUUGUUUUAUUAAUAAGGGGAAAGUAAAGAUUGAAUGGGGACUUGGGCUCCACCUAGACUCGGAACAAUUGAGCCAAUAUUAAAAGGAUGGAAAGAAAUUGGACGAUGAUGACAAGGAGAAGAGAGAGGUGAAGCAGUGGCAGGGGGAGGAGAAGUGAUUGAGUAGACAUUUCCUUGUUUAAAAUAAAAUGGCAUGUGCCUCAAUGCAGUUGAAUUUUGUUAUAUUUAUAUACUAUAUAAAGGUUUGGAAACCUUAUUUUACAAGUGGGAUAAUGACAAUUCCCACUUUAACGAAAUAGAGCUUAUUAUCUCAAAUCUUACGAGUUUCUAUUUAUGAAAUGAUGGAAUAUGCUUCAUCAUUUUUUAUUAUAAAAACUGAACAUUUUUAUUAUUUACUAUUUUGUUAGAAACUAUGAUCCACAUAAUUUUGUAGAAGUGUUACAUUUUAUAAAGAUUAUAUCCACCUAUUAUAAACAAAAAACUGUCACUUCAACAAAAAGUGUCGGAUGUGAUCUUUUUACUUACACCUUAAUAACUGGUUACAAUAAUAUGCCACAUCAGUAUUUAUUGACAUCACAAUUUUUAAUAUCAUUAAACAGAAAAGCACAUUUAUAUUUUGAUAAUAGUUGCAACUUAAUUAUAUAUGCACAAAAUACAAACUUAUGGUCUAAAAAUAAAGGUAUUAGAUGUGUUUUAUGAUUACACAAAAAUGGAAAUUUAAUUUUAUAUUCUUCUAAUAAUAAUGUUGUUUGGGCGGUCUAAUACUUUAUGUAAUUUUGAAAAUUGCUAUGAAAAUGCCAAAUUGGUAAUGCAAAAGGAUUGUAACUUAGUUUUAUAUUUUAUAUACCAUAAAACAUUAAGUAUCAAGCCAUUAGUAAAACCUGUAUGAGCUUCAAAGAUAUUUUGUUUAAUAAUUUUGUAAUAGAUAUAAAUUAUAUUUUUGCUAUUUAGUGAAAAUAUAUGAUAUAGAGGUACAAAUAAAUGACAAAUAAAAGUAGUUGAAUAACAAUAAUCUACCUUAUAAAUCUUUAUAUGAUAAAGUUUUAAAUAUAAAUAAAUUAUAUGAAGAUCAUCAUUAUUCUUAAGAUAGAACUAAUUGUAGAAUUUUAAUUUUGUCAUAAAAUAUUUUAUUUCCAUAAUAAAUUCUUAUUUUUUAAUUAUAUUUUACCAUAUUUUUAUACCAAACUGUACAUGCAUUUAUCCUUAUCAUAUAUUUUUAAAAAUAUUUAAAAAUAUAUAUUUAUACAAAUAAAGUACUGAAAAUAUGCUUGUGAUAUUUACCUCUAUAAAAUAUAAGGUACUCUUUUAAAACAUUAAAACUAAAUUUCCAGCAAAGAUAUAUAUUCUAAACACUAACAUAAGUUUUAUAAAAAUAUAUGUACAUGAAAAGUCUAUCUUAUAUUGAUAAUUAUUUUAAUUUAAAAUCUUUAAAAUUAUUAAAAACUCCCAUAAAACCUAUCAUCUAGCAAAAUCUGCAAGAAUAAAAGGAUAAUUUGUAGCCAUCCAAUCUCAAGCUAAGGGGAGGGUUAGUAUCCAUGGUUGUGGGAAAAAUCGUGUGAAUGUUUGGAUGGCUAGGGUGGCUGGAGGAGAAGAAGCUGUUCUUAGCAAAAGCCAAAUCAUGACACGUGUCAAUAUUAGAGAAGACACUCUUUGGUCCAGGAAUUUGAGAUAAUCACAUUGCACUCAUAGGACAGGAGGCCUUGGAUCCAUUUCCAAAUAACAUAUACUCUUAGCAUCAUCCAGGGUGAGUAUGGUGCCACAUAUCUUGCACUCUGACACUUCUAUGGCUACUGCAUCACCACCUAAUGGUUCUACUUUUGGAAUUGACCAGCAGUAGAAUUACUCCAGGGCUUCAAAGAUUUAGACCAAGAAAAUAAGUUAAGCAUUGACAUUGAGUGCAAUUUUUCUUUUUCUUGCUGUUUCAGUGUGACAAUCAGGAACAAGAAACUUUGUGCCAGUCACUCCACAUAGGUGUCAAUAGCUGGAAUGCUAGGAGAAGGUGUCUUGAUGGGCUAGCCACACUGGAUAUGUCUCUCCAGCUUUAUGUUAUGCCAGCUUGCUAGGAUUGCCCAAGAUCAUCUUGAACACAGUGUUGUGCAUUGCCCAUGUUGAAGAUCAUCUUGAACUUGAUGGCAUGGGCCAUGGAACAAUCUGAUUAGAUUGAAGAUCAAACUAAGGUUGGUUGCAUUGACAUUAGAUGCUAGCAAUGAGUUGAGAAAGUCCACAAGUCUAUAUUUAAAUUGCAAUUGUGACUUGUAUACCCAUAGUUGUGUUGCAUGGUUUAAAGUGUUCAAUUUUUCAUUUUCCAAGUGGGGUGAUACUUAUAUGUCUCAAAUUUACAUUGACCUGACAUGUUUAUCUGGGAGCCAAACCAUGACAUGUGUCACUCUGGAUUUAUGGAAGUCAAUCAAAAGUAUAGACAACCAGGAAAUCACCACUAACUUUUGGAGCAUGGAGAAGUGAACAAUCAUAAGAACUUAUAAAUAAGCUUGCAAACAGUAUUAGUUUUUCUAGAGGGUCCAAUAAUUUAACAAACACUAACCUGGUCUAUCCAGUUAGAUUGGCUAAAGAGAUGAGCUAUUGAGGCCAGAAUGAACAUCGGGAUUUAAUUAGUUACAGUUUUUUUCCAUUCUAAGUCAUAGUUUGUGAACUCUUUUAAUCGGUUAUAGUGUUUUUUCCAUUCCAAGUCAUGUUUCUUAGUUUCCAAACUCUUUUCCAUUUCUAAUUCCUAGGAGCAGUCAACAUUGACAGCCUUAUGGCUGUAGCCACCUCAGAGCUCACAAAUAUCAUCACAAUCCUAGAAGAGGUGGAAGAAGUGGAAAAUCAGAGAAGUUGACAACAUAUAAGAGUCUAUGUGCAAUUACAUACCUCUACUUAUAGAGAUAAAUUCAAGUUUGUCAAAAAGGCUAGCAAAGGGUGAAGCAGGAUGUUUCUCUCUAGGUUGUGGCAUCACAAGCUUGAUGGUCAUUGCAACUGAAUUAUGUGGUAGUGGAUGGCAAACCCAUCGUUUCUUCUCUGAUUUUUUCAUCAUCAUAAAACAAUGGAUUGCUGCCUCCUCUUCUGGCCAUUGGUUUUUUAUGUGAAGUCUUAUGAGUAUGCAAGUGUUAUGAUGUGAGGUAAUGGCUGUGUUAGAAAAGUCAAGAAGUUUUUUAGAUAGGUUAGAGUGAAGAAGAGUAACUCCUAUGCAACUAAGGAUCAACAAAGAAAUUGUGAGUUGUGUGUAGGUUUUGUCAGGUCUUUGCCAAACUACUUAGCAUUAGCUGGACAAAUUAAUACUUAUUAAUAAAAUAAUAAUAAUAAAAAUAUUAACCACUUUACUUUUAUAAGGUGCCAAAUUCUUGAAUUUAACAUCACAUUUCUAAAAGCCCUAAAAUCGCUAGACGAGCAUGGAGAAUGUGGAGCAAUGGCCAGGUGAGAGCAACUGUGGCCAAAUUUGGGGUAAGGAUUCUUCAUGGCAGUGCCAAGGAUUCAAUCCUUCCAGCGAUGACGAACCUCUCCACCGAGGCCACGGCCAUUCUCGAAUGCCUGGCUUCCCCCGAGAUCCUCGCCAAGAAAUCCAUGCCCGUCAAUUAUCGAGUCUACAACGAGGUAGUCUUGGCGCUCCACGACUCGGACAAGGCGCUCGCAUUCUUCGACUGGAUCACUUCGGGGCAGUCGCGAUUCAAGCACACGGGCUACACAAUCAGGCUCAUGACCGAGACCAUGAACAGGAUGAACAGGCGUGAGGAAUCCAAGGCCCUGUUCCAGCUGUGGAAGAAACAGGCAUUCCCAGCUCUCGCUGUGAAGUAUAGCGAACAGGGGAAUCUCCGAGCGACCAUCGAGCUUCUCAAGGACAUGGCCGAGAAUGGAUCGACGCUGUCCAUCCAGGAUCUAAAUGGCUGCUUGCGAGGACUUUGCAAGGCCGGCAACGUAGAUGGUGCUCUAGAGUUUUUUAGAGAAGCCAAGAACUCAUUCUCCUUGCGAGCCAGUGUCUCUACGUACUCGAUUCUUGUCGCUGCGCUCACGGCUGCCAAGAGGAACAACGACGUCUACGAGAUCCUACGAGAAGUGAGAGGAACCGAAGUCAAGCUCGACUUGGUUCUUCGCAUCUCUCGGGUUCUCGACGAAGAUCUCGACAAGGCACUGGAAAGUUUCAAGGAGUUGUCCGAGGAGGAAUGCGUGGAGGCCGGUGGUGCCGAGUGUUUUCGCAGUCUAGUCCAAGGGUUGUAUCAGUCGGAUAGAAUCGACGAGGCCUGUGGCUUGGCUCUCAAGCUCGGCUGCGAGUCCGAGGACGUGAACUCGCUGGUUGACAGUCUUUUGGAUCGCGGUCGGGUGGAUCGAGCUCGCGAGCUGAUUCUAGCAAUGGCACUCAGGCAUGGCUCGUCCUCCGUGAGGCUCCACACUUGCAACAGCUUUCUCAGCGCUGUUUGCAAGAAUCCGAGAAACACAGCCGAAGCUCUCGAGCUGCUGGAGCAGAUGGAGAGCGUCGGGCUCGAGGCGGACAAAGACACGUACAGCCUAAUCAUCCAUAGCCUGUGCAAGUCCGGGAUGGUGGACAAGGCGAAAGUGCUGGUGGAGCGUAUGAUCUCGAGAAACUGCGUUCCAGAUGCCAGGAUUUACGAUCCAGUGAUCGAGGAGCUCAGCAAAACUGGACGAGUGGACGAGGCCGUGGAGAUUGCCAAGGAAGCAGACGCGAAGCAUUGCACUAGCGUCGUCACUUACAACAGCCUUGUUCUGGGAUUUCUCAAGGCAAGGAGACUCAAGCGGGGCAUCAAAGUGUUCACGAGGAUGGCGAGAACAGGGCCUUCGCCGGACAUCUACACGUAUAACAUCCUCUUCGAAGGCUUGAGCCGGCACGGGCUGUGGAGAUUUGCGUACAAGCUGCUACCACGGAUGAACCAAGAUGGUGUUCUUCCCGACGUCGUAACUUUCAACUCGCUGGUCAAUGGGCUUGUAGAAGACAACCGGUACCACCGCGCUGUUACACUGAUCCAGGAGAUGGUAUCCAGAGGCUGUGAUCCCAAUGCCAUCACUUACACGAUUCUUCUCAAGUGGCCCGCCAGGAAUGCCAGGACCGACGAGUGUGUGGAGCUCUUCCAGAGGUUGCUCGACCGGAAGCUAGCUCCCAACGUUUACACUUACAACACUGUGAUGAGCGCUCUUUGCAAGGCCGGGAGACUCGACCAGGCUCACAGGCUCUUCGGGGUGAUGCUCGCGAGUGACAGUACUCCUCCCAACGCGAUCACGUACCGGGCUCUCAUUCACGGCCUCUGCUUGAAGAUGGAGCUGGAAAGAGCCGUGCUUCUGCUCGACGCUGUGGUAUUAUGAAACGGUGUUGUGUUAUUAUUAUGACGGUUGAUACAUGGUUAAAUGUAUGGGUUUAUCGUGACGAUCCGUGGCGGCGUCUGGAUCGCUCACGUGGCUGUGUGCUGACGUGGUCUUGUUCACUCCCACACUCCUCCUCAAGGCCAACGUCUAAGGUCAGCCCAAGUGCCUUCGUGAAGACUUCAUGUUUAACACGAGGAAGUGGUUUUGUUAGCACGUCCGCUAGCAUGGAGUUUGUCGGGCAGAACUCCAGCUCGAUCAUUCCUCUCUGGAUCUGCUCUCGUAUGAAAUGGAAGCGCAGCUCAAUGUGUUUAGUACGAGAGUGGAACCUGGAGUUCUUGGUCAAAGCUAUUGCAGACUGGUUGUCACACAAUAGCUUGACCACGCCCGUGUUGAUUUGUAGAUCCUGGAGAAGUCCCUUCAGCCACGCUGCUUCCUUGGUUCCAGCUGCUGCAGCUAUGUACUCAGCCUCAGUACUCGACAUCGCUGUAAUAGCCUGUCGUUUGCUGCACCAGCUUGCGACAUUUCCAUUUAGCAGGAAAACGUAGCCUGUGGUUGACUUCCUGUUGUCUGGAUCCCCGGCCCAAUCAGCAUCAGAGUAACCAGCCAGCUUGUUGCCGCUCUCGCCUCUGGAGUACUUUAAACUUAGCUGGUUAGUCCCUGCCACGUACCUCAUAAUACGUUUCAAAGCCUGCCAGUGUGCUGUGGAGGGACGGUCCAGGUACUUCGCCACUGUUCCCACAGCAUAUGCAAGGUCAGGCCGAGUGGAGAUUACCAGGUAGAUCAGGCUGCCGACCAUAGAGCGAUAGACUGCUCUAGAUGCUUUCUCCUCCUCGGGAGAUUGAUCAAGGUACUCUCCACUCUCAGCAGAUAAUUUCGAGCCUGUUUCCAUGGGAGUAGCAACCGGAUUAACAUGAGCAAGGCCAUACCUCUGGAGCACGUCGGAAACAUAUUUUGCCUGGCUUAGCUCCAGAGUGCCUCGUUCCCUGUUGCGCGUCACCUGGAUACCGAGGCAGAAAUGCAACUCACCGAGGUCUUUCAUGGCAAAUUUAGCGCCAAGGUACGUUUUAAAUUUGUGGAUCAAACGUAGCUGAUUUGCCACGAGAAUAGCAUCGUCCACAUAUAGCGCAAGGAACAAAUAGCCCUCAGCGUCAAAAUAUAUGUAGAGGUUACAAUCAGCAGCACUGCGCACGAAACCAAGGGAAAUUAGAAAAGAAUCUAUUUUCAUGUACCAUUGGCGUGGCGACUGCUUGAGUCCGUAGAGAGCUUUGUUAAGCUUGCAAACGAGGUGUUCUUCUCCAGGCUGGAUAAAACCAGGAGGCUGAGCCACAUACACCUCUUCAUCGAUGUCGCCGUUAAGGAACGCAGUGCAAACGUCAAGUUGAUGGAGCUCGAGAUCCAAUUCUGCAGCUAGGAUUAGUAGCAUACGAAUGGUUGUGAGUUUCACCACCGGGCUGUAAGUCUCCGAGUAGUCCAGCCCAUGAACUUGAGAAAAUCCGCGUGCCACAAAUCUCGCCUUGUAGCGCUCAAUGCUUCCAUCAGCGUUGUACUUUUUCUUAAACAACCACUUGGAUGAGACGAGCUUUCUGCGAGCUGGAAGUUCAACCAGCGACCAAGUGUUGUUUUUCUGGAGAGAAUCAUACUCCUCCUGCAUAGCUGCCUGCCAGUGUUCAGCUUCUGGUCCAUGUAGAGCCGCUUGGGGACCGAGAGAGGCAGGUGGAGCCGACAGAGCCCAGAAGUAGGCACGCUUUCCUAUAGGCAUCGCCUCCUUGGCUUUAAGAGAUGGUUUCACGACACGACCCGAGCGUGUCACCACUGCUGUGCCGGCUGGAGGAGGUGGUAGCUUGGGAAUGCUGGGAGGAGUGGUGGCAUCUUGAUAUAACUCAUCGCCAACGAACAGGUCAGCCACAAGCGUGGAAAGAUCUGGCUGUUCAUUGGUGCUUGAGGAUGCAGCCGCUGUGGCCUGUGGAGUCGUCAGAGGAGGUGUCGAAGGAAGAGAAGUACCGUGAUCAGCUCCUCCUGCCAGAUCGCCUCCUUCGGGCGCUCCUUCAGCAACUCCUCCUGGCUCUGCAGCGGCUGGAUUGUCUGGUGCUGGGUGGAGAUGUGGAACGUCGUCCAAAAUCUCAGAAAGAUCCACCAGAGAUGGUGGAGAAACAGGAGGGAGUCUCAGGGUAUCUCGAUAAAGACGAGCUUCAUCAAACACCACAUCUCGGCUCACCACCAGUUUCCUGCGCUGGCAGUUAUAGAGUCGAUAGGCUUUUACCUGGGUGUGAUAGCCCAUGAAGAUGCAUUUCUCGCUCUUGGGAUCCAGCUUCCGCCGCUGAACAUUGGGGAUGUGGGCGUAGGCUAUGCAACCAAACACCCUCAAGUGCCCUAACUUGGGGCGCUUCCCAGUCCAUACUUGAAACGGCACCUGUCCUGUGGAACGUGUUGGCAGCCGGUUCCGGAGGUACACUGCUGUGUUGAGUGCCUCUCCCCAAAACACCUUGGGCAUGCCAGCGUGCUGGAGAAGGCAGCGUACACAGUCCAUAAGUGUCCUGUUCAGGCGCUCGGCGACCCCAUUCUGCUGCGAGGUGUGGGCUGCGGUGUACUCGUGGUGGAUGCCAGCCUGAGCAAGAAAUGCCAGAAACUCCUUGCUCAUAUACUCACCGCCGCCAUCUGAACGUAGUGUCCGGAUGGUACAGCCAGUGGCAUUUUCUGCCCAGCUUUUGUAGACCUGGAAGUGAUGGUAGACCUCUCCCUUGUGUGCCAUGAGAACAGCCACCGCAUAGCGUGAGUAGUCGUCAAUGAACGAAACGAAGUACCGCUUGUGACUGAGAGUUGCUUCUGGCACAUGGCACACAUCCGUGUGUACCAGCUGAAGAAAUCCUGAGGCGCCAUCUUCUGGAUUUCUGCGUGGAAAGGGUAGUCUUGCCUGCUUCCCCAGUUGGCACGUCUCACAUACUCCCAGUUGGCCGGCACCGGUGAGGGUAAAGUCAUCAGCAAGCUUGUGGCUAGCAAGUAGCUGGAUGUCGUGAGAAUUGGCAUGCCCUAGCCGAGCGUGCCAGAGCUGGAGAGAGUUGGCAGCCCAGGAGCUGGGGCGAAUUGCAAGCAAAUGCCCCUGCUCGUGAGUUGAGAGGAUCAACUGAGCAUUGAGCUUGUAGAGAGUCUCAGCUCGUCUACCAAAAGCUACUGGAUGGCCAGUCUCGUCAAAGAUGGUGCAUCCGUCUGCGUUGAAGAGUGUUGAGAAGCCUUGAUCUGCUGCUACACCAACUGAGAACACUGUCUGUCCUGCUUCUGGUACGUAGUAGACCUGGUUCACGAGCUUCUCAGCUCCACUCUCCAACUUUAUGAUGACCGUUCCUUGUCCUUCCACUGUUAAGGGGCGUUUGUCUCCUACAAAGACUUGCUUCUCCUGCUCCAGUGGGCGAUACUUGUGAAAAGCUCUCUUCAAUGGUGUGAGGUGCAUCGAGGCUCCAGAAUCCAUCCAGAGCACUUCGGCUUCGGACACAGAUGCAGCGAGCGUCAUCAUCAACAUCGUGUCAGGUUGGCGUGAAGAAGAGCUUCUUUCAGCGCGAGCUUUCUCUGCGGCUUUCUUGAUCCGGCAUUCACGCUCCACGUGGCCAGCUUUGCCGCAGUAGUAACAUGGGCCCUUGCGUUUUUUAUUGGUUGCAAAUCCAGGGCUGGGAGAAGGGCUCUUUUGUCCUCGAACAGGGCCAUCUCGUUUCUUCCCACCCGAUUGCUUUCCCAUGAUCAAGGCCUGCUCCACCCGAGCAGCCUGAGAGGGCGCCUUUUGUCUCCGCUCGUUCUGCUUUCGUUCUUCCUCGAUCAGGUCCGAGUAGAGCGAGUCCAAGUCCUUUCCAGGUACAGCCGAGAGCAUCGAUGCGAAAGGUUGGAGAUCAGGGGAGACAGAGCUCAGAAGGAAUGCCUUAGCUUGGUCAAUGGUGAUUGCCGCUUCCGCGUCCUUCAGCUCGGUGAUCAUCGCUUUAAACUUUCCAAUGUAAGUGGCCAUGGUGUCAUCAGGUUGCAUUCUCAUCGUGAAGAACCUUUGUGUUAGCACCACCUUAGCAUUGGCAGCUUUGGCAGCGAAGAUUUGUGUAAGGGAUGUCCAGUUCUGGUGGGCUGUUUUGGUAAGAUCAAGGAGAUGAACGAAUUCAUCCCCAAGACCUAACCCGAUGACAGAGAGCGCUUUUCGAUUCUUGGAGUCCCAGUCGAGCCGUUGGGUUACAUCCGCAGCAGCCGGACGUUGAGUCGUUCCAUCCACUAUAGGCCAGCAGUCCUUGGCCAAAAGGAUAAGCUGUACUUUUGUUUUCCAAGUGGAGAAAUUCUGUCCCGUGAACUUUUGGAGAAGUUUCUCCCAGCCCCCAGAGUCCCAAGAAUUUCCUGCUGCGUUAGCAGAAGACAUUCUAUCUAUUAAUCUAAGAAUAGAUUAAACAGAGAAUUUAGAAAGGACGGCGUGGAGAAGAAUCGUGAAAAACUCGGCCGCAACAAGGGCACACCAUCCGGCAGGCUGGGCAAAGAGCUUGUUGGCGCUUUCGGUCCUGGAUCUUCCGCUCCACCCGCGCCAGCACUGCCAAAGCCCUCGCGCGCUCCUGAGCCAAGGGUUCCUGGCCCCUUUGAUUCUUCAUCUGCCACUGUCCUCUUGCCAUUAGAUCGUUCGCUGCUCCGAUACCAUGUGGUA
rnacentral:lncRNA from 1 species